rnacentral:lncRNA from 1 species
CCCCUUCUAAAGAUCAAGGUCGCUACACACGGUGGAAAUCUCUCGGUCUCUCUCCCAACGCGAGAGGCGGUUUCCAGGCGGGCUGCCUCCACUGGUCUCCAUCGCCUCCGGUAAGCCGUCGGGCUCUCGGAGGUGUGCGGGACAGUGUACGACCGCGAGGCGGUUGUAGAUAAUGUUGUUUUAGAAUUUUAUUCUGGCACUGGCGGGCAGGUAGGGGCGACGUCAACGCUGUGGGAUAAGGUUCCCCCUGGCUCCUUUCCCGUCUCCGCGGUGAUCCCUCCGGCCGGUGGCACUGCGGGGUUAGGGAGGUUGGCCUCUCUCUUAUCCGGCGAGGUUUGGUCGGUGAUGGGGGUGCACAAUAGUAUAGAAGUUGGGAUUUGUGGAGAGGGAUUCCCAGAUCAGGUCGCCUCGGACGGCCGACAGCUGCGCACUGUUGCGGGCGAAGUGGUUUGAGUUGCGGCUCCACUCCGUCAUAGGCUGCCGCUGGUCAAGGGAUCACUUGGUCUACCCCAGGCCGAUGCACCAGAACCCUCCCUGGUUCCGUCUUUUGGGGAGGGACUUAUAUGCGGCUCACAAAGCCAUGGAUUGGCGAUGCUGCUCCUCAUGCCCGUUGUCUUGUGGAUGACGGCUAGCACCGGCGAGUGCAGAGAUCAGCGUGCCUGGGUGAAUAAGGAAGAUGAACUGGGCUGUAAGUUACUUUGUUUUCUCUGUCGGCGUUAUUCCCUUUAGUGUUAUCUCUGCCUCUCUAGUUCUCAACCUCCAACGACAUGCCCUUUUUUGUGCUGGCCAUGGAGGCUAGCAGCGGCAGGACUGCCAUGACUAGGCCGCGCAAUAUUUCUAACAGUGUUGAGCUACUCGUUCCCGACAGCUCCGGUGCCAAGCUGCCAAGCAGGUAUGUGUGUGAUGGAUCUUUUAAUUUUAAGUUUGCUUCCUGUUCGAUUAGGUGCAUAUUUCGCAAGAUAAUGUUGUUCUAUCAUGUCUCUGAUUUUGAUUUCGAUUUUGAUUUUUCCUGCAGAUUUCAGGAUAUAGAAGGCAGCUUCAGGAAGGGGUCGCUGACGAGGUGAGACCAUUGCGUCUAUUCUUGUGUUAGUUUGUUUCAAAGAAAUCACACUAAUUUCUCUCAGUAUACUCUGCAGAGAAAUAAGUACUGAAGCAGGCUUCACCGAAGACUACUGAUCUAGAAUUGUUUGUUGCUGAAAUAAGUCCAGGAGCGGUGGAGCAGGCUGAACAAUUUUCUGUUGAUUUUACUGAAUGGAUUGUCCCUGUAAUUUGACCAAACGUCAUGUCGCCGUGCCACUGAAGUUUUUGCACAGAAUUCUUGUCUUUUUGGGUGGUGCCAAGCUGUCUUUUUGUUGAACAAUGCCACAAUUGCAUAGUUGUAAGUUAUUUAGGAUUGUCUCUAUUGCAUACGACCUGGAGUUACAAGAGGUCCAGUACUAAUUUUGUGUAUGUAUGUACAUGUGCAGUCACCCAUUUUCUAUACACAAGAUUCCAAAGCAUCUUUUACUGUACAUUUUGUUUCUUUUCUCGGUACAAAAUGUAUUGCAAGUGUUGUUCAUUUUUUCCCUUCUCUAAAUAUACUAGAGACCCUCUAAGGGCUCAGUUUUCUUCCCGUUUGUCUGAAUAUACCCAGAUUUAUUUUGUGUGUGCGUAUUUAACAAAGCAUUUAGUUAACCACUUCUACUUCAUUCUUGUUUGUCGUGAAACCACAUAUAAGUGUGUGCUCAAGUUAUAGUAUGUAUGUUAGGAAAUACACAGGAGCUCCCGGGUGCUUCUCUAUAUUAUGAAUAUUAAACUUAAAAAACUCUGGAAUUUGAGGAUAUCAAACCCGGGUGCCCAAUCCACUCCCGGGUGAAGUUUCGUGAAAAAAGUGGCGAAGGAAAUAUAGUCCAAACUAAAAUCUGUCCAAACAUUUUUUUACGUGCAUAGUUUUCUUCUAUCUUUUUUUUUUUGCCAUGGAUACAUUUCAUGGUAUUUUUUCACGAAAUUUCAUACGAAAGUAGAUUCAACACCCAAGUUUGAUAUCCCAAAAUCCCCCCAAAGAAUAAAAUUUUCUGGUGAUUUUUUGAACUUAAUGUUCAUAUAGGGGGUGGAGCACCCUCGUGCUACAAAUCCUCUUCUGUAUGUUAAUAUAAUGUCUUGAUUGCUAUCUUCAAGAUAUUAUUAUGUGUUAUUUGAUAUGAUUCUUUUUUCGCCAAAUCUUGCAAAGAGGUUUGGAAUGUUACAACAUCAAUUUAUUUUGGAUGUCAUCAUUAUAUUUUGGUCAUGGUUGGCAUGUCGCAUCAUAUAAUGCUCAUAUUCAUGUAGAGAUGACAUGUGCGUGACAUGGGCGGGUUGCGGGUCAGGAUAGGUUUUUAACCCAUUGGACUAGGAUAAGCUUGUAGCCAUCGCAAGUUGCCACAUGCGUGUGGAUGGAUUUUAAAUUUGCUGCAUGCUCCGUCCCCUGGUAAAUGAUACUGUGAGCAAUGAGAAAGGUGAGUAGGGAAAAUGACAAGUCUUCUCACGAGAUGAAUUCGGAAAAUGUUUCGUUUGGAUUAAAGAGUUUAUUGAUUGGAAACCUAUAUUUGAUCAUGCGUGACAUAUACACGUCAACAAUAUAACAUACACGUCAACAAUAUAACAUCGCUUUGAUCAACGUCUACAUACAUUUGUUAUUGUCUCCUACAUAUGGGUCUCUGACAUAACUUAAAUCCACCUAAUCUUAUAAGAUCCGUAGCGUAGCACAGGCAUCUUACUAGUCACUAGAGGCUUUUAUGUAGGGUAGAACCCUAGAUGCCCGAUCUUUCAUGAUUUAAGGGGAUCCUACGAAGAACACGAAGAACAUGAGGGAAAAAACAAGGGGAACACGAGAGGAAACACAAGAGAAAUCACUCAACCAACAAGAUUCGGUCACACAUAUGCUAGAUCCUCGAAACACAAAGAGUGAUACAUGAUUCAAGGUCAAGAAAGGACGAUAUAAAAGGUCUUCUCCGUGAGGAGGUCUUGAAGGGUCUUCCUGUGAUGGGGUCUUGAAUCCGCUUGGGGGAUCUUCUCCGAAGAGGUCGUGAGCUUCGAGGAGAAGUAACCAAGUGGAUGAGCAAAGCUCUAUCUCAAAUAUGAGCUAUCACAAUGCUAACCCUAGAAAGUGGGCGGAGGAGGUCUAUUUAUUAUAUAUAGUCUUAGUGGACGAAAGGGUAAGUGGCUUCGGCCCAACACGCGGGUGGUCACACAGGCGUCGGACGUCCGACGGUCACCGGUCGUCCGAAGGCUCGCGGGGGUUCGAACGUCCGGUGCCGGUCAGGGUCCGAUGUUUCGGCUCUCAUCAAGACUUGUCAGUCGUCCGGUCAGGGUCGGUCGUCCGGAGGUCUCAAUUCUUCCGACGUUUUGGCUCGGGUGUGGUGGUGCCGGUCGUCCGGUGUCGCUCGGUCGUCCAGACGCUGGGAGGUGUCGGUCCUCUGGUGUUGCUCGGACGUCUGGGCCCUGGAGUGUGCGCUGGCUGGGACUUGGUUGGCGGUCGGAGCCUCCAGGCGUUGGACGUCCGAGAGACAUCGGUCAUCCAAUGAUAAGGAGUUUUGAGCAGUCCUUCUUGUUGUCCAUUGAACUUGGUGUCCUCGCCGUCUCGUCUGUUGGGUGUAGCUGAUCCAUGGCUUUCCUCCAAAUACCUGAUCACACAUAGGGUCUUCGCAUGAGCUAGUCACAAUAAGAUUCAUCACCCUCCGAAAUAGUGGUAUCAUUACUUCCUAAAGUUAACACUCUUCCAAACCCACUUUCAUCAAUAUAAUCAUCAUAGAUAGGAGGCAUGCUUUCAUCAUAAUAAAUUUGCUCAUCAAAACUUGAGGGACAAAAAAUAUCAUCUUCAUCAAACAUAGCAUCCCCAAGCUUGUGGCUUUGCAUAUCAUUAGUAUCAUGGAUAUUCAAGGAAUUCAUACUAACAGCAUUGCAAUCAGGCUCAUCAUACAGAUAUUUUAUGCCAAACAUUUUAUAGACUUCUUCUUCUAACACUUGAGCACAAUUUUCCUUUCAAUCAUUUUCAUGAAAGACAUUAAAAAGAUGAAGCAUAUGAGGCAACCUUAAUUCCAUUUUUUGUAGUUUUCUUUUAUAGACUAAACCAGUGAUAAAACAAGAAACUAAAAGAUUCAAUUGCAAGAUCUAAAGAUAUACCUUCAAGCACUCUCCUCCCCGGCAACGGCGCGAAAAAAGAGCUUGAUGUCUACUACACAACCUUCUUCUCGUAGACUCGUGUUGGGCCUCCAAGCGCAGAGUUUUGUAGGACAGUAGAAAAUUUCCCUCAAGUGGAUGACCUAAGGUUUAUCAAUUUGUGGGAGGCGUAGGAUGAAGAUGGUAUCUCUCAAAAAAAACUGUAACCAAAUAACAACGAGUCUCUUGUGUCCCCAACACACCCAAUACAAUGGUAAAUUAUAUAGGUGCAAUGGUUCGGCGAAGAGAUGGUGAUACGAGCGUAAUAUGGAUGGUAGAUAUAGGUUUUUGUAAUCUGAAAAUAUAAAAACAGCAAGGUAGCAAUUAACAAAAGUGAGCGAAAAUGGUAUUGCAAUGCUUCGAAACAAGGCCUAGGGUUCAUACUUUCACUAGUGCAAGUUCUCUCAACAAUGAUAACAUAAUUGGAUCAUAUAACAAUCCCUCAACGUGCAACAAAGAGUCACUCCAAAGUCACUAAUAGUAGAGAACAAACUAAGAGAUUUGUUGCAGGGUACGAAACCACCUCAAAGUUAUUCUUUCUAAUCGAUCUAUUGGGCUAUUCCUAUAAGUGUCACAAAUAGCCCUAGAGUUCAUUCCAAAAUAACACCUUAAGACACACAUCAACCAAAACCCUAAUGUCACCUAGAUACUCCAAUGUCACCACAAGUAUCUGCGGGUUUGAUUAUACGAUAUGCAUCACACAAUCUCAGAUUCAUCUAUUCAAACCAACACAAAGAACUUCAAAGAGUGCCCCAAAGUUUCUACCGGAAAGUCAAGACAAAAAUGUGUGCCAACCCCUAUGCAUAAGUUCACAAUGUCACAGAACCCGCAAGUUGAUCACCAAAACAUACAUCAAGUGGAUCACGUGAAUAUCCCAUUGUCACCACAAAUAAGCACAUGAAGACAUACAUCAAGUGUUCUCAAAUCCUUAUUGACUCAAUCUAAUAAUAUAACGUCAAAGGGAAAACUCAAUCCAUUACAAGAUGGUAGAGGGGGAGAAACAUCAUAAGAUCCAACUAUAAUAGCAAAGCUCGCGGUACAUCAAGAUCGUGCCAAAUCAAGAACACGAGAGAGAGAGAGAGAGAGAGAGAGAGAGAGAUCAAACACAUAGCUACUGGUGCAUACCCUCAGCCCCGAGGGUGAACUACUCCCUCCUCAUCAUGGAGAGCACCGGGAUGAUGAAGAUGGCCACCGGUGAUGGAUGCCCCCUCCGGCAGGGUGCCGGAACACGGUCCUGAUUGGUUUUUGGUGGCUAUGAAGGCUUGCAGCGGCGGAACUCCCGAUCUAGGUUCUGUUCUGGAAGUUUGGGGAUAUAUAAGAGGUGUUGGCAUCGGGAACAAGUCAGGGGACCCACGAGGCAGCCACAAGGUAGGGGGCGCGCCCUAGGGGGCGCGCCCUCCACCCUUGUGGUGGCCUCGGGACUCUUCUGGUCCGUCUCCGAUGCUCCAUGGGGACGUAUCAAUAAUCAUGAGUAGCAUUCAUAGCAGAAGUAGCAUCCUCAAUAACUUGUGACAUAUCAGAAUUAAUAGCAAGUGGUGGUGUUGCAAGUUUACUUAUAACAGAAGGUGAAUCCGGUGCUGAGCUAGAUGGCAGUUCCUUACCUCCCCUCGUCUUAGAGGGAAAAAUCUUAGUCUUAGCAUCCUUCAGAUUCUUCAUAGUCAUAAUUUGAUAAUAAUCGACUCAACAAAUAUAUCUAUGCUCCCCGGCAACGGUGCCAGAAAAAGGUCUUGAUAACCCACGAGUAUAUGGGAUCGCAACAGUCUUUGAGGGUAGAGUAUUCAACCCAAAUUUAUAGAUUUGACACAAGGGGGGCCAAAGAAUAUUUGCAAGUUUUAGCAGCUAAGUUGUCCAUUCAACCACACCUGGAGAUUAAUUAUCUGUAGCAAAGUGAUCUGUAUCAAAGAAGUAUGAUAGUUUUGAUAGUAAUGGUAGCAGCAACAGUAACGGUAAUAGUGAUAGCAGUAGUUUUGUAGCAAGUAUAAUUGUAACAACAAUAGUAGUAACUUAGCAAAAUCAAUAUGUAGGAAAAUCGUAGGCAUUGGAUCGGCGAUUCGUUGGAUUAUAUUCAUCAUGAGACAGUCAUAACCUAGGGCGAUACAGCACUAGCUCCGGUUCAUAAAUAUAAUGUAGGCAUGUAUUCCAUAAAUAGUCAUACGUGCUUAUGGAAAGAACUUGCAUGACAUAUUUUGUCCUACCCUCCCUAAUAUUCAAUCCAGCACAAAGAACCUCAAAGAGUGCCCCAAGAUUCCUACCGGAGAAAGAAGGACGAAAAUGUGCUUCAACCUCUAUGCAUAGAUUACCCCAAUUUCACCUUAGGCAUCUUCAACUGCAAAAGUUUCUUUCAGCAAGCUUUUCCAUGUUGAUAUAUCUGGAUGGUAUGAGUUUCAAAAGAUUUUCUUAGAGACCUUAGGUAAAUUUGGCUAUAAUGGCCCUCCAUAUCUUAGGAAUGAUCCUGCAAAAUUCCUAUGUAUCCAUGGCUAUGUCUCAGUUUCACAUGAAUUUAUACAUACCGUCUAGCUCAUUUUUGUGCCUUUUUUUGGAAUUCCUAUGCAUUUCUGACCAAUGUGAGUUUUCUCUUAUAAUCUGAAGAGUCCUUAAGAUUGUCGUUAUAUUAUAACUAACUAACUGAUAAUAGAAGAGUUCAAGGGUUUAUCACGUUCUACCAUUGGCAUUCAUUAGGAACCAAGACGGUAAUCCUCCAAACUUUUCAACAACUUCCUAUGUUUUUUUGCACGUAGGCACAAUAAAAAGUUGAUAGAAACACUACUUAAAAAAUUAAAGGCCUCAUUUACUGGUUUACACAUGCUGUUAGGUAUACGUAUAUUUUUAGAACUAGAAUAUGUGUUUUAUAAACACCUUUUUUUAACACACACCAAAGUAUUUUUUUUGUGCAUAAGGAUCUAACGUCUUAGCAUAUGUAUUUGCUCAAACAGGAGAUUACUAAAAAAGUACACGUAUUUUCAAGGAUAGCUAAUUUUGAAUGGGGCUCUAUUCUACCAAAUUACAAUGUGUAUAUACAUCUCAUGUGGACAACAAGCCAUCGUUUUUCCUAUUAAAGAAAAUUAAAUUUGUUGUCAUAUGUGCUUUCCCACAACUAAUAAACCAACUGAGUCAUGGAUUUUGUUCUGAAUGCAACACUGUGCUGCCAAAUUAUAAUUUGUAUAUACAUCUCAUUGUAGACAACAAGCCACUAUUUUUUUUUCUUAAAAAGAGAUUAAAUUUGUUGUCAUAUGUGCUUGCCCUCAACUAAAGCAACAAAGCAUAGAUUUUCUUUUCAAUGUGGUCAUGAAUUUAGCGGGUCUCUGCGCCAUUUGAGACUUUACACAAUCAAAUAGGAAUAUGUGAUAUCAUUGUACACAACAACAAAUCAUUUUUUUGCCAAAGGAUACUUCAUUUAUUAUCAGAAGUGCUUUCCCAGGCAUAUAUUUUGUUUAAAUUGAGACUCUAUGCUAUCAAGUUAAAAUGUGUAUAUUCAUCUCAUUGUACACAGCAAUCUAACAUUUUCCUAUUAGACGGGAUUAAACCAUGGAAUUUAUUUUCAUCACGGACAUGGCUUUAGCGUGGCUCUGCGCCAUUUGGCGCAACGGGUCCACUAGUAAAAUAAACAAAAGAAGGACACUCUCUCUCGAAGCCUAUGAUAUAUACACUUUCUCCCCCUUUGGCAACAAGUUACCAAAAAGCUCAAAAGCGUAUAGUGCUAUACAAAACUCUAGGCACAAUUUUCGGGAGCUCCUGAAGGGGUCUUCUGGCUUGUAGCUCCGGUGUGCGUAGAGGCGUUGAAAGGAGUCCAUCUGCAAAUGCCUCAACUGAAGUCGGUGGAUCUAGUAGAGUAGAUACUGGAGGAGCAACUGUGGUUGUGGUGGGAGGAGCAGAAUGAGCAAGCCUCAAAUCUACAACUAUCUUAGUAGCAGACCUCUGUGCCCUUGGCACUAACUGGAAUCUAUGUGUAGUUGGCCUGUCAUGAUUUUCAUCAACAUCAUCUCUGAGCUUCUCCACUAUGGUUUGAAAAACUGUUACCUUCACAUCAAGGUCAUACAUCUUGCUCUCGACAAUCCUCUCUAGGCUCUCCUGAUUCCGAGUCAAGGUGGCCAAGCUCUUCUCAAUCCUCACGGUAGCCUCUAGUAGAUAUGUGAGAUGAUCUUGCUUAGACUUGAGAUUCACUAUUGAAGCAUCGAGAGCACUUGCUGCUUUUUGCAGCCUUUGCCUUCUCAAUCUUCUCGUCGGCCUCUGUAGAAGUAGGAUGUGAUGCGUCCAUGACAACUUCAUUGUCCUCAAAAUCAGGCCUAGGAGGUAGAUGCUCUUUGUCAAGGAGAUAUGUCCUUUCCAACCUUGGAGUUGAUCAACAUCUGAAUGUGUGGGGCAUAUCCACAUGACCUCUUCUGGUCGGCUGUUGUCCUCUUGAUUGUCUCAACUAUCAAACUCAUGACUUUCAAUUUCUUGAGAAUAUCAAACAAGUGUAGCAAGUUGAUAGAAUGACCAUGCAUCAUCCUAUGAUCUCCAGACUUAGGCAACUAAGUAUGCCUCAAGAUGGUGUUCAUGGUGGUCAAUCCAGCAAGCAAAUAUUAGAUUGAUCCAAGCUUGUGAGUCUCCAGAGCUGUAUCAGGAAUGGGCUUAUACAUGUUAGCCAUGGAGUUGUGAUCCUUCCUGGGUUUGCCAUAAACAUCCAGAUCAUCUUCUUCUUCCUUUGGACAAUUGAUGAGCUCAUCCCAUUCAGAGAUUGAUGACUGGUACCUGGUUCCCUCAGUCAUCCAGAGAAGCUUUCCAUCUUGGUAGAAAUGGGCAGUGGAGUAGAACUGCAUAAUCAUCUCAUCAUUCCACUUAAUCAGUUCUUGUCCAACAAAAGUAUCAACUCCAUUCAGCCUGAAGCUCUCGUGCCCAUGGGGAAAGUAAUCUUCAUUUUCAUCAAUAUAUUCCCAAUCAACCCGUUUCAUGCCACAUACUAUGGGCUUCUUGUCCAGCAACACAGUCUCAUAGAAGUCAUGUUGUUCUAUGGUAUGAAAACAAUAGUCCACAACAGUCCUUCUACUUGUGGAAUAUGGAUCAGUCUUUCUCCAUUGUCUCAGACAUGCAUCCUUUCUUAGCUUCAUGUUCUCAGCCACUAGAUGAUCAUCAUUAUGGUUUGGAAUCUUUGGCUUCAAUUUCCUGAGCACUAGUGGCUCGUCAUCCUCUUGGACCUCAGGCACUGGGCCUUCUUUUUCUCUACAGCUAGGAUAUUUCUUAUGGAUCUCUUUGGAGCAGUUGACUUGGGUGCUUGAGCUGGAGCUUUGGGCUUGGGCUUGGUCUUGGAGGGCACAGCAGUAGACUUCAUAGCAUUACUCAUGAGCUUUUGAGUCCUGGCAGGGGGUGCAGCUGGUUCUUCUUCCUCCUCCUCAUCUUCAUCUAUCCUCAUAGAUGGUUUCCCAAGCACUCUUGCAGUAGUUGUUCUUACCCUCAUCUUCUUUCCUCUAGCAGCCUCAUCAUAUCAGAUUGUUCAAGUGUGAACUGCAUAGUUUCUCGAGUUGAAGCUCUGAUUUUGGACAUUGGAGCUCUCCUAUCAGGAGCUUUCUUUUGCAGACCUGGCUUGGUGAUGGCAGCAGCACCAACAUAUUCUUUCUUCACAACUUUCUUCUUGGAAGUCACUUCUUCCUCAAUCACAAAAACCUCAUCUUCACUGUCAGAAUUUCUCUUCUUCCUCUAUCUGGUAGCAGCUUUUGGCAAGUUGCUAGGAGUGCUUCUACCGCCAUCAUCAUAGUUUUGCUGCUAGAACUAGUGCCAUGACUGAGGUUGACUUGCUCCUCUGACCUGUUCUGACUAUCACUGGCCUCUGACAUCUCUGUGAAUAGAUGGAUAUGUUGGGAAACGUAGCAUGCAAUUUCAAAAAAAUUCCUACGCUCACACAAGAUCUAUCUAGGGGAUGCAUAGCAAUGAGGGGGAGAGUGUGUCUACGUACCCUCAUAGACCGUAAGCGGAAGCGUUUCACAACGCGGUCGAUGUAGUCGAACUUUCUUCGGGAUCCAUCGAUCGAGUACCGAACGUACGGCAACUCCGAGUUCUGCACACGUUCAAUUCGGUGACGUCCCUCCCUUCUUGAUCCAGCAAGACGUGGAGGUGGUAGAUGAGUUCCGUCAGCAUGAUGGGAUGGUGACGGUGAUGGUGAAGUGACCCGCAUAGGGCUUCGCCUAAGCACUACGAAUAUAUGACUGUGGGAGUAAACAGUGGAGGGGGGCGCCGCACACGGCUAACAAUUGUCUGGCGUGUGUUAGGGGGCGCCCCCCCCCAUAUAUAUAGGUGGGAGGGAGAGGUGAGAGGCUAGGAGGUGCCCCAAGUAGGACCGAAUCCUACUUGGGUUCCUCCUAGGCCGCCCCCCUUCCUUAUUUAUCGGAGGGGGAAGGAAAGAGGAGGGAGGAGGGAAGGAAGGGGGAGGCCGAAUUGCCCCUUUCCUUCUCCCUUCCCCUCUUUCCUUCUCCUCUAGUUCGGCCCAUAUGGGGGGCGCACCAGCCCCUGGGGGCUGGUGCGUUUCCCCUCUUGGCCCAUUAGGCCCAUAUCUUUUGCCGGGGGUGCCUGGAACCCCUUCUAGUGACCCAAUAUGUACCCGGUACCCACCGGAACACUUCCGGUGUCCGAAUACUAUCGUCCUAUAUAUCAAUCUUUACCUCUCGACCAUUUCGAGACUCCUUGUCAUGUCCGUGAUCUCAUCCAGGACUCCGAACAACAUUCAGUCACCAAAUCACAUAACUCAUACAAUACUACAUCAUCAUCGAACGUUAAGCGUGCGGACCCUACGGGUUCGAGAACUAUGUAGACAUGUGUCACAUCCCUGGUUCUGGUCUGCUCUGGGCUAGCUAGUCAUGUUUUGCACCAUCUUUAAUUUGCAGCUAAUCUUGAAAUGGGGAUUGAUCCAAACCCUAGCACCAAAUGAAUUCAAAUAGGAUCAAACAAAAUCAUUUUCAAUAAUCCCAAAAUGCUCCUGAGAAAAGUUCAUCAUUUUUGAAUUGGUUGAAAACCUCUGAAAAAAAUGGUGCACAUUCUUCUAGGUCAUCUCUGGAUUAUUGAAUUAAAUCAUAAAGUAUUUGAAUUUGGGCAUUUAAUGCUUAUAAAUAUUUUAAAUGCCCAAAUAAUUCUGAAAGUAAAUGAAGGCUGUUGGAAAUAAUUCAAAUUGUGCCUACAAUUUAUUUCAGGAUUUUAUUAAGUGCCUUAGUAUUUUCACUAAAGCCAAAACAGAGACAGAAUUAGAAAACAGAAACAAAAAAAGAAGAAAGCUCGCUUGACCUUACCUGACUUAGCCCACCUGGCCCAGCACUGUGCAGCCCAUCCGGCCACAGUGCCAGUCAUCUCCCACCUCUCGCCAGUAGGACGAGAGCCGUGUGGCCACCAUGCACGCACACACGCCCCGGCCACCUCCUGCUUGCCGCUCCCCCCCCCCUCGAUGCCCUGGCCUUCUCUAGCGACGCCACACAUCCCCCUGGUCGCCUCUCACCCUCUCUCGAGCUUGACCCCCUUCUCAACUCUCCCUCCCUCUCUGCCCGAGCGGAACUCGCCGUCAUCGCCGCUGCCGUAGACGCAGCCUCCAUGCUCCCCUCGCCUCGGCAAUGCGCCAAGAAGCUCCGCCUCGUCCCCCUCUUCCUCCUCAACAAGACGGAAGGCACCGGAAGCCCAUGAUGCCGCCAGCUCCACAGUUCCCCUCCUCGGCCACCGAGGAUCGUCGUUGUCGAUUUGCCGCUGUCUCCGCCUCCCCGAGCUUGUUGAGACCGUCUUCGACCCCGCUGUGAGCUCCGCCUUCUUCUUCCCUGCUCCUCGUGCCCGUACGCACCUUCUAGCCGCCCGAGUCACCGGAGCCGUGAGCUCCCCGCCGCCGUCCAUGUCGCCGCCGUGGCUAGAGCUCACGUGCGUCGCGCCCGAGCACACUACCAUGCUCAGCACGUCCCCAGCAACUCGCUAACACCACCAUCUCGCCCAGAGACGCCCAGUAACGCCAAACCGAGCACGCCCGUAGCUCCGGUCGUCGCCUCUAUGCUCGCCGUCGUCAUCUCCGGUAACCCCGAGGCCUCCCGAUCACUCUGCUAGACGUGGUCGAGCGCGGGCUACCCCCUGGUGGCCUUCGCGCGUCCAGCCGCCGCCCGUAGCGCAUUUCUAAGCCGCGCUGCCGUUGUUUUGGUCGCCGCCUGCCAGGCUCCGGCGACACUGACGUGGUGGAUUAGUUUAGCGCUAAUGACGCUAUUAGUUAAUCGUGUGCCACUGACACCUGGGCCCCGUUCACUGAUUAACCCUGGUUUAGCUCUUGUUUAGAUUAAACUAACCCCAUGGGCCCCACAGGUCAGUUUGACCUAGCCACGUCACACGUUGACUGACCCCACACGUCAGAGUUGACUUGCUGACGUGUCUGUUGACCCGGCCCCACCUGUCAGCGACACUAACCAGCAUCGUGUCACUGACCAGUGGACCCCACUGGUCAGGUUUGACCCGGGGCAGCCCUGUUGACCCUGCUGAUGUCACCCUGACGUAGUUAAUUAUUUUUUGAAUUAAAAUAAUUUAGAAAUUCCAGAAAAUGCUCUAAACUUCUAAAAAUCAUAGAAAUUAAUCUAUAACUCCAAAUGAAAUAAGUUAUAUAUGAAAAAUGAUCAGAAAAAUCCAAUCUAUCCAUCUGCACUGGUUCCAUGCUUGUUAAAGCAACUUAAACCUGCUGUUUUUAUCAAAACAUGGUAAUGCACUUUAUAAAUUCAUAGUUUGAGUUUGAACUUGAACCUUGGGUUCAAAAUAACUCAAACCCAUCUGGUUGUAGUUACAUUAGGCCAACACACUCAUAUUGCCAUGUCAUGAUCAUGCAUCAUAUUGUGCAUUGCAUUGAUUGUGUUCCUUCUCUGUUGUUGGUGGUUGUUCCCUCUCGAUAGACGUGUUCCCGACGAUGAGUUCAAUGACACCAAUGAAGAGCUAUAUCAUCUUCAGAAGUACCAAGCAAGCAAAACCCCCUUGUUCAUUCUGAUACAAUCCCACUCUCUCGCUCCUGCUCUCUUUUACUGCAUUAGGACAACAACGAUUUGUCCGUUACUUGCUGCGGUAGUUGAACCCCUUUUCCUCUGCAUGACAUGUCAUAACCACUCAUUGGGAUCCUUAAUUGACCCUCUCGGCUUCUUAACCAUCCUUGUCCUCUGUCCAGGAGUUGCAAGUAGUUUCUGGUGUUUGUAGUAUGCUAGAGGCCAUGCACAGCGCUGACCCGAGGGGUGGGCUAUGAUGCGGUAGGCACGUGGCCGGGUAUGUCGGGCGCCCGUUUGGUGUCACGGAACCCUGUACACAUUGUUCGGGGCCAUAUGUGGAAACCUCGGCCGGACUCCCUGCGGAUGGAACCUGAAUAAGCGAUAAACCUGGACUAGAGACUUGAGUGUUUAGGUAGGCCAUGGCCGACACCCUCGUUGGGCUUCCGCUUGAAGGUUGCCGAGUACAUGUUGUGUAAACGACAGUAAGUGGUGAGAGCGUGUGUGAAGAAGUACACCCCUGCAGGGUUAACAUCAUCUAUUCGAAUAGCCGCGUUCGCGGUAAAGGACCUCUGGGUUGCCUAUAUAGUUCAUAGACAAGUGAAAGUGGAUACUCUAAAAUGCGCAAGAUAAGCGUGAGUGCUAUGGAUGGCGUUCUCGUAGGGAGACGUGAGUGGAUCCAUAGUGGUGUAUUGAUAUGGUGAAUAUGUGGACUCGUGUGCGCCACCUCAAAAGAGUUACUUGUAGUCGUAGUUCAGGAUAGCCACUGAGUCAAAGCUGGCUUGCUGCAGUUGAACCCCACCAUCCCUUUGUUGAUAAUGAUGCAUAUGUAGUUAGUUCUGAUGUAAGUCUUGUUGGGUACAUUUGUACUCACGUUUGCUUAAUUUAUGUUUUCCAGAGAUACUUCAGUCUCACUAGUAGUUCUACAUGGACUUCGAGGUUUAGCUUAAUACCUCAGCUACGAUCUUGUGCCCUCGGCAAGAUUUGGUAGAUAGUCAGGCUUCUCAGCCCCUUUUCAUUUGUAGUUGUCUGUACUCAGACAUGUUAAGCUUCAGCUUGUGCUUUGACUUGUAUGCUCUGAAUGUGGGGUCAUGAGACCCAUGUUUGUAAUAUCCCGUCCUCGGAGCGUAUUGAAUAAAUACUCUGAGUCAUAGAGUUAUGUUGUGAUGCCAUGUUGUAUUUGCACAUAUCGAGCAUAUUGUGUGUAUGAUUUGAAAUGCUUGGUAUGUGUGGGAUCUGACAACCUAGUUGUUCAUCCUUGGUAGCCUCUCUUACCGGGAAAUGUCUCCUAGUGCUUCCACUGAGCCAUGGUAGCUUGCUACUGCUCCGGAACACUUAGGCUGGCCGGCAUGUGUCCUUCCUCGUUCUUGUGUCUGUCCCUUCACGGAAAUGACACACAUUAUUCCUUUAAGUCCUUGUAGCUUGCUACGACUUGGGUUCAUACGUUGUUGAUCGACACGUUCGUUGUUGGGUCAUGUAUGCCUGUCCCUGUAAGUUAGCGCCACUUUGGGUCCACGACUAGUCAUGUCAGCCCGGGUUCUUUGUCAUAUGGAUGCUAGCGGCACUAUCAUAUACGUGAGCCAAAAGGUGCAAACGGUCCCGGGCCAGGUAAGGUGGCACCCGUGGGAAUACCGUGUGUGAGGCCGCAAAGUGAUAUGGUGUGUUACAUGCUAGAUCGGUGUGACUUAGGAUCGGGGUCCUGACAACAUGACCGAGACACCUCUCCAGUCAAUAACCAAUAGCGGAACCUGGAUGCUCAUAUUGACUCCCACAUAUUCUACAAAGAUCUUUAUCGGUCGAACCGUUAUGACAACAUACGUAAUUCCCUUUGUCCACCGGUAUGUUACUUGCCCGAGAUUCGAUCGUCUGUAUCUUCAUACCUAGUUCAAUCUCGUUACCGGUAAGUCUCUUUACUCAUUCUAUAAUACAUCAUCCUGCAACUAACUCAUUAGUUACUUUGCUUGGAAGGCUUCUUAUGAUGUAUAUUAUCGAGAGGGCCCAAAGAUACCUCUCCGAUACUCGGAGUGACAAAUCCUAAUCUCGAUCUAUGCCAACUCAACAAACACCUUCGGAGAUACCUGUAGAGCAUCUUUAUAAUCACCCAGUUACGUUGUGACAUUUGAUAGCACACAAGGCAUUCCUCCGGUAUCUGGGAGUUGCAUAAUCUCAUAGUCAAAGGAAUAUGUAUUUGACAUGAAGAAAGCAAUAGCAAUAAAACUGAAAGAUCGAUAUGCCAAGCUAACGGAUGGGUCUUGCCCAUCACAUCAUUCUUCUAAUGAUGUGAUCCUGUUAUCAAAUGACAACUCAUGUCCAUGGUUAGGAAACCUUAACCAUCUUUGAUCAACGAGCUAGUCAAGUAGAGGCUCACUAGGGACACGGUGUUUGUCUAUGUAUUCACACAUGUAUUUAGGUUUCCAAUCAAUACAAUUCUAGCAUGAAUAAUAAAAAUUUAUCAUGAAUAAGGAAAUAUAAAAUAACAACUUUAUUAUUGCCUCUAGGGCAUAUUUCCUUCAAUCUCCCACUUGCACUAGAGUUAAUAAUCUAGAUUACAUUGUAAUGAAUCUAACACCCAUGGAGUCUUAGUACUGACCAUGUUUUGCUCAUGGAAGAGGCUUAGUCAACGGGUUUGCUAUAUUCAGAUCCAUACGUAUUUUGCAAAUCUCUAUGUCUCCCUCCUUGACUUGAUCACAGAUGGAGUUGAAGCAUCUCUUGAUGUGUUUGGUUCUUUUAUGAAAUUUGGAUUCCUUCGCUAAGGCAAUUGCUCUAGUAUUGUCACAAAAGAUUUUCAUUGGACCCGAUGCACUAGGUAUUACACCUAGAUCGGAUAUGAACUCCUUCAUUUGCUGCUUCUGAAGCAUCUAUGUACUUUGCUUCACACGUAUAUCCUGCCACGACACUUUGCUUGGAAUUGCACCAACUGACAGCUCCACCAUUCAAAAAAUACGUAUCUGGUUAAUGACUUAGAGUCAUCCAGUUCAGUGUCAAAACUAGCAUCGACGUAACCAUUUACUACGAACUCUUUGUCACCUCCAUAAACGAGAAACAUAUCCUUGGUCCUUUUCAGGUACUUCAGGAUGUUCUUGACCGUUGUCCAGUUAUCCACUCCUGGAUUACUUUGGUACCUCCCUGCCAGACUUAUGGCAAGGCACACAUCAGGUCUGGUACACAGCAUAGCAUACAUGAUAGAACCUAUGGUUGAGGCAUAGGGAAUGACUUUCAUUUUCUCUCUAUCUUUUGCAUUGUUCGGGCAUUGAGUCUGGCUCAAUUUCACACCUUGCAACACAGGCAAGAACCCUUUCUUUGACUGAUCCAUUUUGAACUUCUUCAAAAGUUUGUCAAGGUAUGUGCUUUGUAAAAGUCCUAUUAAGUGUCUUGAUCUAUAUCUAUAGAUCUUGAUGCCCAAUAUAUAAGCAGCUUCACCGAGGUCUUUCAUUGAAAAACUUCUAUUCAAGUAUCAUUCUAUGCCAUCCAGAAAUUCUACAUCAUUUCCAAUCAACAAUAUGUCAUCCACAUAUAAUAUUAGAAAGAAAUGCUACAGAGCUCCCACUCACUUUCUUGUAAAUACAGGCUUCUUCGAAAGUCUGUAUAAAAGCAUAUGCUUUGAUCACCUCAUUACAGCGUAUAUUCCAACUCCGAGAUGCUUGCACCAGUCCAUAGAUGGAUCGCAGGAGCUUGCACACUUUGUUAGCACCUUUAGGAUUGACAAAACCUUCUGGUUGCAUCAUAUACAAUUCUUCUUUAAUAAAUCCAUUAAGGAAUGCAGUUUUGACGUCCAGUUGCCAGAUUUCACAAUCAUAAAAUGCGGCAAUUGCUAAUAUGAUUUGAACGGACUUAAGCAUCGCUACGGGUGAGAAAGUCUCAUCGUAGUCAACUCCUUGAACUUGUCGAAAACCUUUUGCGACAAGUCAAGCUUUAUAGACAGUAACAUUACCAUCAACGUACCACUCUGGUGUGGAUCGUGUUCUGGUUGACUGAUAACCCACAACUAUAGGGGAUCGUUUGUAGCCUUCUUCUAUAAAUAAGAGUGUCUAACCCAACGAGGAUCUAAAGGUAGAACAAAUAUUCCCUCAAGUUCUAUCGACCACCGAUACAACUCUAUGCACACUUAACGUUUGCUUUACCUAGAACGACAAUAAAACUAUUUUGCAAGAUUAAAACUACGAGUACUUUGCGGGAAUAAAACUAUGAAUAAAUUGCAAGGUAAUAAAAGUGGAUAACUUUUGUCAACAAGAAAGUCAUUUCUCCCUAGGCAAUCGAUAACAAGUAUUGGUAAACAUUCUUGCAAUUCUAUAUGAGGGAGAGACAUGAGCUAACAUACUUUCUCUACUUGGAUCAUAUGCACUUAUGAUUGGAACUAUAGCAAGCAUCCGAAACUACUAAAUAUAAUUAAGGUCAUGAAACCCAACCAUAGCAUUAAGUAUCAAGUCCUCUUUAUCCCAUACGCAACAACCCACCUACUCGGGUUUAAGGUUCUGUCACUUUUGCAACCCACCAUAAGCGAAUCAUGAACAUAUUGCAACACCCUACAUUGGGGGCCCUCAUGUUUACGCGAGAUAGAGGGCAUCGUAGGACAGCACCAUAAAUAAAAUAUAAAAUCAUACCAACCAAGAUCACAAUUAACCCAUAGGACAAACGGAUCUACUCGAACAUCAUAGGAUAGCCAAAUAUCAUUGGGAAAUAAUAUAUGGAGUUGAGCACCAUGUUUAAAUAGAGAUUACAGCAGGGAGAAGAGGUGUUACACCACUGCAUAGAGGGGGAGAGAGUUGGUGUUGACGGUAGCAAGAUUGUUGAUGUAGAUCGCCGUCACGAUCCUAGCCCCGGCGACACUUCGGCGCCGCCGGGAGAGAGGGGGAGAGAGCCCCCUCCUUCUUCUUCUUCGUGGCCUCCCCCCUAGAUGGGAGGAGGGUUCCCCCUAUGGUCCAUGGCCUCCAUGGUGGCAAAGGGGCGAGAGCCCCUCCAAGAUUGGAUCUGUCUCUCUGUUCUCUUCUGUUUCGCGCUCCCUAGAUCUGGCCCUUAACGAUUUCUUAAAUUCCCAGAGAUCCGUAAAUCCGAUUGUGCUGAAAUUUUUACACAAUUUUUCCAUAAAUUAUCUUUCUUGCACCAUAAGAAGGGCCCCAACCGACCUUUGAGGUGGGCAUAAGACACCUGGGCCCCCAGGUGCGCCCUGGUGGGUUGUGGGCAUGUGGGCCCCCAUUUGCAUUGAUUCCACCUCCCAAAAAUCACAUAUAUUCCAAAAUAAUUCUCCAUAAAUUUUUAUCGAGUUUGGACUUUGUUUGAUAUGGUUUUUCUUUGAAACAAAAAACAUGCAACAAACAGGAACUAACAUUGGGCACUGGUUCAAUAGGUUAGUCCAAUAAAUCAUAUAAAAAAGUUGCCAAAAGUAUGUGAAAGUUGUAUAAUAUUGGCAUGAAACAAACAAAAAUUAUAGAUACGACAGAGACAUAUCAGCAUCCCCAAGAUUAAUUCCUCCUCGUCCUCGAGUAGGUAAAUGAUAAAAAAGAUAAUUAUUGAUGUGGAAUGCUACCUAACAUAAACUUGAUCGUACGUCUAGUCAUGGCAUGAAUAUUAAGACAUAAGUGAUUCAAAGCAACAGUCUAUAAUUUGACAUCAAGACAUUAAUACUCAGGCAUCCCAACAAACAAUCAUGUCUUUCAAAAUAACAACGCUAAAGAAAGCUAUCCCUAAAAAGUCAUAUAAUCUUUUCAUGCUCUCUCUUCUUAACAGAAAGUAUUUAUCAUGCACAACCCCGUUGACAAGCCGAGCAAUUGGUUCAUACUUUUUAACGUGCUUCAGCUUUUUCAACCCUCACGCAAUACAUGACUGCAAGCCAUGCAUAUAGCACUAUGGGUGGAAUAGAGUAUGAUGAUAGGGGUAAAUAUAAAGAAGACAAAAAAGUAAGAAAGUCUCACAUCAACGCUGCUAACCAACGGGCUAUGGAGAUGCCCAUCAAUUGAUAUCAAUGCAAGGAGUAGGGAUUGCCAUGCAACGGAUGCACUAAGAGCUAUAAGUGUAUGAAAGCUCAAUAGGAAAACUAAGUGGGUGUGCAUCCAACUUGCUUGCUCAUGAAGACCUCAGGCAUUUGAGGAAGCCCAUCAUCGGGCUAUACAAGCCAAGUUCUAUAAUGAAGAAUUCCCACUAGUAUAUGAAAGUGACUACAUAGGAGACUCUCUAUAUGAAAAAAAUGGUGCUACUAUGAAGCACAAGUGUGGUAAAAUAUAGUAACAAUGCACCUUCUCUCUUUUUUUUUCUUUUUUUUCUCUCAUUGUCCGGAGUCUGAUCCCGACUUGUGGGGGAAUCGUAGUCUCCAUCAUCCUUUCCUCACUGGGACAUGCUCUAAUAAUGAAUAAUGAUGAUCAUCACACUUCUAUUUACUUAUAACUCAAAGAAAUAAAAAUUACAACUCGACACCUAGAACAAAAUAUGACUCUAUAUGAAUGCCUCUGGUAGUGUACCAGGAUGUGCAAUGAUCUAGCAUAACAACAAUAUCAAAAAAUAGACAAGCCAUGGAAAUAUCAUGCUAGCUAUCUUAUGAUCAUGCAAAGCAAUAUGACAAUGAAUGCUCAAGUCAUCAAAACAAAGGCGGUGGAAGUUGCACGGCAAUAUAUCUCAGAAUGGCUAUGGAAAGGCCAUAAUAGGUAGGUAUGGUGGCUAUUUUUAUGAAGAUAUAAUAAGGCUUAUGUGUGAUAGAGCGUAUCAUAUCACGGGGUUUGGAUGCACCUGCAAAGUUUGCACCAACUCUCGAGGUGAGAAAGGGCAAUGCACAAUACCGUAGAGGCUAGCAAAUUGCGGAAAGGUAAGAGUGCAUAUAAUCUAUGGACUCACAUUAGUCAUAAAGAACUCAUAUACUUAUUGCAAAAGUUUAUAAGCCCUCGAAGCAAAGUACUACUACGCGUGCCCCUAGGAGGAUAGAUUGGUAGGAAAAGACCAUCGCUCGUCCCCGACCGCCACUCAUAAGGAAGACAAUCAAUAAUAAAUCAUGCUCCAACUUCAUAGCAUAACGAGAGACUAUACGUGCAUGCUUCGGGAAUCACAAACCUUAACACACAUAUUCCUACUAACCACAACCGUUUACUAGUACCUCCCACAUAUUACCAUCUCUAUAUCGCAAAAUUAUUGCAAGGAAUCAAACAUAUCAUAUUCAGUGAUCCAUAAGUUUUAUGUAGGAUUUUAUGACUAACCAUGCAAUUGACCAAUUCAUGUUGACUCUCUAAAUAGAUAUAAGUGAAGCAAGAGAGUUUAAUUCUUUCUACAAAAUACCAUGCUCUAACAAAUAUAAGUGAAGCAAAAGAGCAUUCUACAAAUAACGAUUUCCUAUGUGAAGAGAAACAGGCAAUCCAAACUUCAAAUGAUAUAAGUGAAGCAUAUGAAGCAUUUUAUAUAGCCAUACUCAAAAGAUAUAAAUCAACCAUGGACUAUCUCAUACCAGCAUAGCGCAUGAAAGAAAAGCGAAAACUAAAUGCAAAAGACGCUCCAAGAUUUACACAUAUCACGUGAACAAAACAAAGACGAAAAACAUACCGAUACUUGUUGAAGAAAGAUGGGAUGCCUUCCGGGGCAUCCCCAAGCUUAGAUGCUUGAGUCUACUUGAAUAUUUACUUGGGGUUCCUUGGGCAUCCCUAGUCUUGAGCUCUUGCAUCUCAUCCUUCUCGUCAUAUCGAGACCUCCUCGAUCUUUGAUCACUUCAUCCACACAAAACUCAACAGAAAGCUCAGUAAGAUCCGUUAGUAUAAUAAAGCAAAUCACUACUCUAAGUACUAUUGCAAGCCAAUUCAUAUUUUGUUUUUGAAUUGUAUCUACUUUAAUAUAACUUUUCCAUGGCUUAUACCACCGAUAGAAUCGAUAGUUUCAUCAAAACAAGCAAAAUAAUGCAUCAAAAAACAGAAUCCGUCUUAAACAGGACACUCUGUAGUAAUCUAAAAAUUUACCAUACUUGCGGUACUCCAAAAUUUUUAAAAAAUUACGACAAAAUAAAAAAUAUGUAUAGAAAUAGUGUGCAAAAAGUUUCAGAACCUUUUGACGUUCCAGUAAAAAAUGAAAAUUCACACACUACAGCCAAAGUUUCUGUUUCUGCACCACACAUACCAAGAAGCAAUCUAAUCAUCCUAAAGACAAACAUUGGCACAAUAAUUUUACACUACAAAGGAUUUGUACAAGGGGAUAAUUAUUUUUUUUGAAAAGUUUCUGUAAUUGAGAUUCACAAAGUUUCCAUGGGCAUCAACAAAGUUCAAGGAGCUCCCCCACUUCAACAAUGCUCGUCUCACUUUCACUUUUCUUUUUGUGAAGUUUUAAGUUCCCCUCUAUAUUUUUUUUGUUUUUAAGCUUUAUAAAAGCACUCAACAGAAAUAAAUGACUCUCUAAAACUUCAAGGUUGUCUCCCUGGCAGCGCUUUCUUUAAAGUCAUUAAGCUAUGCAUGAAGUGCUCAAGUAAUGGAUCCACCCGGAUCCCAAGGUAUAUCAAAGCCAAUUUUAAUUAGCAACGAUUUGGUGUUUAGUAGUGUGCACAAAGCAACAUAUAUCAUGCAAUGACAAAGUCUAACCCUCUUCCUAUGCAUCGGCAUUUCAUACGAGAACAAUUCAUGCACAUAAAGUAGAGGCCAAUAAAUAGCAUAAGCAAUUUCUUGCCAUUUUAUCACGUUGGAAACAUAAAGAGGUGGAGCUGUAGUUCCUCUCUCAUAAUAAUUGCAAGUAGGAGCAUCAAGCACAUGCAUAUUACAUUCAUCAAAAUUAUCAUGUGCAACGGUAAAAGGCAACCCACCAACAUAAUCCUUAAUAAGUGCAAACUUCUCCGAUAUAGUGUAGUUUGGAGAAUUCAAAAAAAUAAUAGGACUAUCAAGUGUGGGUGCAAUAGCAACAGUUUCAUUCUUAACAUAAGGUACCAUAGCAAGUUCAUCUCCAUAAGCAUAAUUCAUAUUGGCAUCAAGGCCGCAAGCAUAGAAAGCAUCAAGUUCAUCAAAAAGGGAUAUUUCAAACGAAUCAGCGGGAUCAUAGCAUUCAUCCUUCGGUAAGUACGAAGGGGCAUUAAAUAUUGUAUGAGUUAAAGAGUUACUCUCAUUAGAAGGUGGGUGUCACACCCACGAUGCGGCUAUAUCUCCCACGUGUCGAAGCACGACUUAGAGGCAUAACCGCAUUGUGGUUUUGUCGCAAGAAGGGUCAUCUUCACACAAUCCCAUGUAAUGAACAAGAAUGGGAUAAAGAGUUGGCUUACAAUCGCCACUUCACACAAUGAACAUAAAUAAAUCAUACAUCAUUCAGAGUACACACACAUAGUCCGACUACGGACGAAGCCAAAAGAAAAGAAGAUAGCCCAACUGCUAGAUCCCCGAUCGUCCCAACAGGGCUCCACUACUGAUCAACAUGAAACGAAACAUAUCAACAACUAAGAUCUCCGUUGAGCUCCCAUCUGAGCUUGGUUGCAUCACCUGCACUGGUAUCAUCGGCACCUGCAACUGUUAUGAUAGUAUCUGGUGAGUCACGAGGACUCAGCAAUCUCAAAACCCACGAGAUCAAGACUAUUUAAGCUUAUGGGUAGGAAGGGGUAAAGUGGCGAGGUUGCAGCAGCGACUAAGCAUAUCUAGUGGCUAACAUACACAAAUAAGAGCGAGAAGAGAGCAAAAGGAACGGUCGUGAACUAGCAAUGAUCAAGAAGUGAUCCUGAACUCCUACUUACGUCAAACAUAACCCAAAACCGUGUUCACUUCCCGGACUCCGCCGAAAAGAGACCAUCACGGCUACACACGCGGUUGAUGCAUUUUAAAGAGGUCAAGUGUCAAGUUAUCUACAACCAGACAUUAACAAAUUCCCAUCUGCCUAUAACCGCAGGCACGGCUUUCGAAAGAUUAUAUACCCUACAGGGGUGUCCCAACUUAGCCCAUCACAAGCUCUCAUGGUCAACAAAGGAUAUACCUUCUCCCGGGAAGACCCGGUCAGCCUCGGAAUCCCGGUUCGCAAGACAUUUCGACAAUGGUAAAACAAGACCAGCAAAGCCGCCCGAUGUGCCGACAAAUCCCGAUAGGAGCUGCACAUAUCUCGUUCUCAGGGCACACCGGAUGAGACAUCCUACGAGUAAAACCAGCCCUCAUGUUUCCCCGAGGUGGCCCCGCAGUCUACUUAGUUCGGACCAACACUCGAAGGAGCACUGGCCCGGGGGGUUAAAAUAAAGAUGACCCUUGAGUCUGCAGAACCCAAGGGAAAAAGGCUUAGGUGGCAAAUGGUAAAACCAAGGUUGGGCCUUGCUGGAGGAGUUUUAUUCAAAGCGAACUCUCAAGGGUGUCCCAUAAAUCACCCAACCGCGUAAGGAACGCAAAAUCCGGGAACAUAACACCGGUAUGACGGAAACUAGGGCGGCAAGAGUGGAACAAAACACCAGGCAUAAGGCCGAGUCUUCCACCCUUUACCAAGUAUAUAGAUGCAUUAAUUAAAUAAGAGAUAUUAUGAUAUCCUAACAUAAUCAUGUCCAUCAUGGAGCAAUCUUCAACUUCACCUGCAACUAACAAUGCUAUAAGAGGGGCUGAGCAAAGCGGUAACAUAGCCAAGCAAUGUUUUGCUAGGAAGGGUGAAAAGGUUAGAGGCUGACAUGGCAAUAUGGGAGGCAUGGUAAACAAGUGAUAGGUAGCGCGGAAUCGCGAUAGAACGAAGCAACUAGCAAGCAAAGAUAGAAGUGAUAUCAAGGGUAAUGGUCAUCUUGCCUGAAAUCCUGAUAGGAAGAAGGACGAGUCCAUGAAGAAGACAAGCAGACGUAGUCGAACGAAUCCUCACAACUCCAGAACGAAACCGAAGCUAACGAGAGAAGCAAACCGGAAAGAAGCAAACAAUGCGGUAAACACACAAGCAUAAUCAUGGCAUAAUGCACAAUCAAGUAUGAUGCAUGUCCGGUUUAAAGAGGCAUGGCAUGGCAAUGCACACAAACAAUACUACAAGUUAAGUGGAGCUCAAUAUGCAACGAGUUGCAUAUUGACAGAACACCACAUCAAUAUUUAGUUCGCUCUCGGUUAGGAACACAACAAUAUUAAAUGUUAUUAAACAUGGCAAAAGGGGUGAAGCAUGAGCAAACCACCUAGCUAGGCAAUUUUAAAUGAGGCCGGAAACAACAAACAACAAUUCCGGAAAGUCCCCAUGUCAUUUAGUAGUUUAAUGCAAACACAAUAUUAAACAUUUUAAUUGUUCUUAUCAUGAUGUGGAUGACAUAAUCAAGGUUUUAUGCAAUUUUUAUGAAAAUGUUGACAUGAACAUGUUACGAGGCAUUUGUCGCCAUGGCGGAAGGAAAAAGGUGCCACGGCGGCGAAACGGAAAUGGUGCCACGGCAACAUUCCGGAAAUGAUGCCACGGCAACAUAUCGGUUCCGGUAGCUCACGGAGAUACCGGUGCAAAAGGAGGCGUGAGGAUGAGCGCAACAUGCAAGAUGGUGGGGUGAUCCCGACUACCGGGUUCCCACGGGACGGUGGCAUGGCAAAAGAGGGGCAUCGCAAGGACGAUUCGAUCACGGUGCAAACAUAUGGUACAACUCAUACAUGCAAGGGCAUCUCAUAGCGGUCGUCUCGGGUUAUACCUUUGAAGCGUGCGUUACGGGCGGAACGAGUUCGGAGUGGUGUAGAGGAAGUAGGCGUUCACGGGACGUCGUGGAAGUAGUCGUACACGGCAUCGGUAGUGGUACACCAUUGGAGACGUACACGUUCCGUAGAUGAACUUGGCGCUCGUGGUACACGGGUCUUCGGACGACGGUAGAUGUACACGGCAAUCGUAGUGGAACUUGGUGAUCCAUGGUGUUCGGGCGUAGUGGUACUCAUUCCGUAGACGAACUUGACGGGACAUGGCUGUCGUGGUACUUGACGUCAUUGUGGCCUCCAGGUACUUGCCAAAAUCCACAUCGGAUAUAGUCGUACAGAUUUGAAGAUGAACUUGGCAUCCCAAAGAUGGCCUUGGCGUUCCUGGUUCGGUGGUUGUAGCCACGAAAGGCCGUUGGAGAGGGAGCAGGGGUGCAAGGAGGGCCAUGGCGGGCACGGGUCUGCCGGACCUGCAACUGCGGCUGAUGACGAUGCAGAGGAGAGCUUCGGGUUGGCCCUGGCGUUAACUUGACCAGGGAGAUGGUGGAGGUUGGCGCAUGUGGUCGUCGGACGUCGCGCACGACGCCAGAACGAGGCAUGAGGAGGAGCAGCAGGGUGAAGAGGUCGGGCGCACCGGCAAGGAAGGGCAGCGGGACUCGGUGUCCAAGGCGGCAUCCAUGGCGAGGAGGGGAAGAGGGACUUGGCCGGCGGCGCGGCUGAUGGCAGGGGACGAUGGAUCCGGGCAGCGGCCGCGGCUCGGGAGCCUUCCCCGAUCGAGACAAGGACGGAGAGGGCCGAGUGAGAGAGGGAUGGCGGCGCGCGGGAGAAAGAAGGGCGAGGAGGAGGCCGCAGGUGAGGGAGAGCCGCCGGAGUUGGCUGCCCCGAUGGGGUCACCGGUGUGGUGGAGCGAGGGGGAUUCGAGGGCUGCGCGCGGAGGGAGAUGGGGGUCGGGCGCUGCGGGAACGAGGAGGAGGAGGAGAUGGAUCGAGGGGAUGAGGAUCGCACGUUGCGGCGGCGCUGGAGGGAGAUGGGGGUCGGGCAGGGGAGACUAGGGUUAGGCGCGGCUAGGCCUUAGAGGCCGGCCCAGAUGGAUACAAGUGGCGGCUGGGCUGCGGAUGAGCCUAGAUGGCCUGCUGGGAUGCAAGGCUUCUUCCUCCUCUUCUUUAACUCUUAUUUUCUAAAACAGAAAAUAACAACGAAGAAAAGAAGAAGGAAGGAGGUGUCGGGGCAGAAGUUGGACACGGGGAUUAUUUUCCCGAACUCGCAAAAAUGAGCUCGAUCCAGGAAAAUAAAAGAGGCAUGCUUGAAAGAUUUAAAUCCAAAACCAUUUGAAUUUAACUCAAAUGGGUUUGCACUAGGACUAGAUAAAAGGAAGGUCCAAAAAUGUUCGGAUUUUUGGUGGAGCUCCGGAAAAUGAUGAAAGAAAUAUUGGCAAGGUUAGAGAGCCAAAACUUGAAGAAGAAAAGGCCAAGGGAUUUAAUAUGCAAGUGGGUUCAUGGGUGAUUCCAAAACAAUGGAAUAUUUUAUAGUAUCUCCCUAAAUAUCGGGAGGGUAUGUUUUAAAGAGAACCCACCAUGUGAGUUUCCUCAAUUUAAAUGGACCGAAGAUCCAUACGAUUUAUUUAGAUGAGUUUUUAAAAUUAAUGAUAUGAUGGCAUGAUGACGUGAUGCAAUGCACAUGAUGCAGAGAUGAAUGCACGAACCAAACAAAAUCACACAACGAAUCUCGGAAACCCUGGAAGGCAUCUGAAGCUCCGGUCUUGGGGCGUUACAACACUCCACCACUACGAGAGGAUCUCGUCCCGAGAUCUAGGAUGGCACGAGAGAGAAACGGAAGAGGAAGAGAAGAGGUAAAACUAAGUUGCUUCUUCGACAAAAGAGUGAAACCAAAGAACCUUGAGAGGUUGAAAAGUUGAAAGAAAGAACACAACGGAGUUGAACACAAUUGAGAGCACUGCGGUAGAAAAUAGAAACAAGGAACACCAUUUGAACCUUGGAGGUUGCAAAGCUAUGAAUGACGAGUACAAUGGACAAGAAGGGAUUGAACCACUCUGGUUGAAACGAGAUAAACAAGGAACAAGGAAGAACAAAUUUGGACAACACUCCGGUAGAAAAGAGAUGCAAGACUUGAUACGAUGAAAAAGAACUUGAAGAGGUGACGCAACACUCCGGUUAAAUGGAUAAGCAAGAAAAAAACAUGAUCUUGACAAAACGAGAUGAUGGGUCAACGAGAGCAACCUCACAAAGCCUCUGAAAGAAAGAAUAGAAGAUAGAUCAUUGGAAUAACAUAAUGGAGAAGGAAAUGCCAACUUCUGCCACAAAUGAGCUUGGAAAGCAGCCUUCCAAGAAGGUUAUAACGAAGUUGUUGGAAACCAACAACGAAACGAAUAAGCUUGUAGUGGGCUUAUGGAAAACAUCUCAAAAUUAUGAGGUGACAACCGGCCACUAACGGAAACAAUUGCUUGCUUGAGAUCAACAAAGAGAUGAAAACUCCUUUCGCUGAGAGGAUAGGAGAAAACUUGGAUCAUUGAUAAGCACCACAAUAGCAACAUUCCUUAGGGAAGGCUUUAGGUGAAAUCUAUACCAAGAUAACUCCAACGAAGAGAUUGAUGGAUUUAAAAUACCUCGUUCUUGACAACAUGUGAAUCAUGAAACAUGAAUGAAAAUUGUCAAGAAUGAUAUAACACCACCUCAAAAGAUAAGGUAGAAAGAAUUGCACUUUGGAAUGCACGAUAAAGAAUGCUUGACGAACCACCAUGAAGAACUCCGGUAAUAAAAGGAUGAUAGAAAGAAAGAGAAGUUGAAAAUACAAGGUGAAGCCUUGCGAUGAUUUAGAUGGAGCUUCGCGACAAGAUAAUGCGAAAAACUUGGAACUCCGGAAAAGAAAAGAUGAAGCAUCUCAAACCGAGAAAAAUGACAUGAUGAACAACUCUCGAAAGAAGAAACUAGAUUACUUGGAUGAAACAAUAAUAAGAAUUACGUUAUGCGUAUCCUUCACCAAUUUAAAUUGAUGACAAGGAACGGAUUUGGCAUAGUACUUAUUCUUUUGCAAGGAUUGAAGAGAGAUAUAGCGCCAACUUGAGGAAGGUCUUCAACAACCACCGGUAGGAUUGAAACAACAAAAGAACGAAUUAAUUGGUACGAUAGCGAAGGAAGAGAAAUCUUGAACGAACCACCGUACGAAUUGAAAAUGAAAGUAGCAAAGGCACAAUUCACCGGGAAGAAUUGGAAAAUGAAUGAAGAUACUUGACAGAAUUUAGAUACAAGAGAACGAAGAGAUCAUGAACUGAUUAGAGGAUAUUUGAACGAUGCACGGGUAAGAUUUGGAGAACGAUAGUUACACACUAAGAAUGAAGAAUUCUGAGAUGAUGGCUCCGGAGAAUCAAACUGAAAAGACUCCUGAAAUGCCCCGGAUGGGUGAAAAGAAUUCUCAUAAUCGAAAACAAUUAUGAGAGGAUGGCAUAACGCUAGAACCAUGAAUCUUCAAGAGAACGGACCAAGAUUUAGGAGAAAUCCUUCUUCAGUCUUCAAAAUUCGAGAAUGACGACGAGAAACACCACCAUGAAUUGUUGAGACACUCCGGAAGAAUGAAAAAACAAAGAGGUUGAGCCAACAAUGAAAAAUGAUUUUAAAUCGAUCUUGGAGAACACCUGACUGAUGAAAUUCAUUCUUACGUCAAACUUCGAAAAGAAUUUGGGAAUGGCUCCAGGAAAAUUAGAAGAGUCAGGUCAGAUCCUGGGAAAAGACCUGUGGGUUAGGGCCCACUCAAAAGGAAAACACCGUUGAAUGAUUGAUUGAAAAGGGGGGGAUUGCACCGGUUGAAUUAAAUGGCUUGAAUAAGGUAACAACCUCGAAAUAAUUUGGACGGAUUGAGAAUGGACAGAUGGGCCUUCUGAGAUAUAUUCAACACUCGAGAACGAAGGAAUAGCGAGAAUUGAAUGAUUAAGGGAUACACCGGCAUGGGAUAGCAUUUGAACGAGGAUAAGGAUAUGAUCAACACCGAAAGCUUGAGGUAAAUCCACCGGAGAAGAAAAGAAUGAAAAAUGAUGAACUCAAAGCUCCGUUAGUAUCUUCCUGAGAAUCACCGGAUAAGAACAUUGACGAAAAAGAAUGGAGAGACUUCCCAUCAAUAAAAUGGAUACCCUAUUAAGAAAUCUGAGUCCUUGAAGAAAAAGGGUGGGAGGGUGGGGAAAACAAAGACAACUUGGGAUGAACGAAACAAACACCGUUGAGAAAACUUGGAAAUGAUCUUGCGGAUGUUGAAAUGAUCGGAUCCACUUGAAGAGAAGCACGCCGGUUGGAAAAGAAUUAACAUGACAACCUCAAUGAUCAAAAGGAUUAGCAUUCAUAUAGAAAUAUGAGAACACCGUUUAGGAAAGGUAUGGACUCAACAUUUGACUUCGAAGCAACUCGAAUACCACAAAUGAAACAAAACAAAGGAUUUGGCUUGCAGAAUAAGCCGAAACAAACAUAUGAUAGAGAUUUCAUCCGAAGUUUUCGUGGUGGGGCCCACACGGGCUCGAUUGUAUAGCACCAUCAUGUACAAGGCAGUGCACAUGACAUACGAAGUGUCCCCGAACCAUCAUAGCCAAGGGUUCUUUAAGACACAACGAGACCACUGCAAAAACGACCGUGGAAAGGCGGACCACUAGACGUCGAACCCCAAUCUCAUAUCAUGCAUCUGUCGAAAAGAUAUUCUAGGAGCUACUUGAAUUCCCACCUAUAAAACUCCCGAAACUUUCUGGUUAUGCAAUCUGGUGUUGGGGAUACAGGGGAAGCAAUAUAUAUAUCUCACCCAAAACUAACAAUUCCUACAUCCAAGUUGUAUCCAUCCGUCAACACAUAACCAAGAAACCUUCGGAAAUCAUGUACCUCAACCUUCGAAAAGCAUACGUUAUACGAGUUAUGGCAAUACUCCCGAACUCCCCAGUACUGGGUGACGUCGAGGUUAUCUCACCAACAACUGCAUAAAAGAGAUUUUCGAUGUCGGAAAAACUCAGGUAUUCCAGAACUGCAACGAUAAAAUUAUGACGACAACACCUCGGAGCUCAACUCCCCGGGUCAAAGCCACAUAAAAGACAGGAGGCACCAAGAACAAUGUUCUCGUCACAAAACCAUCGAAACGAUUCCAAGAUACCCGCGUGAUCCAAAAAAAAAUUAGUGAAAUUUGAGGAGAGGAAACACAAAACAUCUACGUCAGGAGACCUCACCAGAGCGACGAAGGGACUGAGGAGUAAAAAGAAUCCUACUCUCCGAUAUAUAUAAUCCUAAGACUCAAAACAUUUUUGUUCUAGACUCAACAACGCCAGCAAACAAUCAAGCAGGGGGCUCCUAAGUCGGGGAUGGCUCUGAUUACCAACUUGUCACACCCACGAUGCGGCUAUAUCUCCCAUGUGUCGAAGCACGACUUAGAGGCAUAACCGCAUUGUGGUUUUGUCGCAAGAAGGGUCAUCUUCACACAAUCCCAUGUAAUGAACAAGAAUGGGAUAAAGAGUUGGCUUACAAUCGCCACUUCACACAAUGAACAUAAAUAAAUCAUACAUCAUUCAGAGUACACACACAUAGUCCGACUACAGACGAAGCCAAAAGAAAAGAAGAUAGCCCAACUGCUAGAUCCCCGAUCGUCCCAACUGGGCUCCACUACUGAUCAACAUGAAACGAAACAUAGCAACAACUAAGAUCUUCGUUGAGCUCCCAUCUGAGCUCGGUUGCAUCACCUGCACUGGUAUCAUCGGCACCUGCAACUGUUAUGAUAGUAUCUGGUGAGUCACGAGGACUCAGCAAUCUCAAAACCCACGAGAUCGAGACUAUUUAAGCUUAUGGGUAGGAAGGGGUAAAGUGGCGAGGUUGUAGCAGCGACUAAGCAUAUCUGGUGGCUAACAUACGCAAAUAAGAGCGAGAAGAGAGCAAAAGAAACGAUUGUGAACUAGCAAUGAUCAAGAAGUGAUCCUGAACUCCUACUUACGUCAAACAUAACCCAAAACCGUGUUCACUUCCCGGACUCCGCCGAAAAAAGACCAUCACGGCUACACACGCGGUUGAUGCAUUUUAAAGAGGUCAAGUGUCAAGUUAUCUACAACCGGACAUUAACAAAUUCCCAUCUGCCUAUAACCGCAGGCACGGCUUUCGAAAUAUUAUAUACCCUGCAGGGGUGUCCCAACUUAGCCCAUCACAAGCUCUCACGGUCAACGAAGGAUAUACCUUCUCCCGGGAAGACCCGAUCAGCCUCGGAAUCCUGGUUCGCAAGACAUUUCGACAAUGGUAAAACAAGACCAGCAAAGCCGCCCGAUGUGCCGACAAAUCCCGAUAGGAGCUGCACAUAUCUCGUUCUCAGGGCACAUCGGAUGAGACAUCCUACGAGUAAAACCAGCCCUCAAGUUUUCCCGAGGUGGCCCCGCAGUCUACUCAGUUCAGACGAACACUCGAAGGAGCACUGGCCCGGGGGGGUUAAAAUAAAGAUGACCCUUGAGUCUGCAGAACCCAAGGGAAAAAGGCUUAGGUGGCAAAUGGUAAAACCAAGGUUGGGCCUUGCUGGAGGAGUUUUAUUCAAAGCGAACUGUCAAGGGGGUCCCAUAAAUCACCCAACCGCGUAAGGAACGCAAAAUCCGGGAACAUAACACCGGUAUGACGGAAACUAGGGCGGCAAGAGUGGAACAAAACACCAGGCAUAAGGCCGAGUCUUCCACCCUUUACCAAGUAUAUAGAUGCAUUAAUUAAAUAAGAGAUAUUAUGAUAUCCCAACAUAAUCAUGUCCAUCAUGGAGCAAUCUUCAACUUCACCUGCAACUAACAAUGCUAUAAGAGGGGCUGAGCAAAGCGGUAACAUAGCCAAGCAAUGGUUUGCUAGGAAGGGUGAAAAGGUUAGAGGCUGACAUGGCAAUAUGGGAGGCAUGGUAAACAAGUGAUAGGUAGCGCGACAUCGCGAUAGAACGAAGCAACUAGCAAGCAAAGAUAGAAGUGAUAUCGAGGGUAAUGGUCAUCUUGCCUGAAAUCCUGAUAGGAAGAAGGACGAGUCCAUGAAGAAGACAAGCAGACGUAGUCGAACGAAUCCUCACAACUCCAGAACGAAACCGAAGCUAACGAGAGAAGCAAAUCGGAAAGAAGCAAACAAUGCGGUAAACACACAAGCAUAAUCAUGGCAUGAUGCACAAUCAAGUAUGAUGCAUGUCCGGUUUAAAGAGGCACGGCAUGGCAAUGCACACAAACAAUACUACAAGUUAAGUGGAGCUCAAUAUGCAACGAGUUGCAUAUUGACGGAACACCACAUCAAUAUUUAGUUCGCUCUCGGUUAGGAACACAACAAUAUUAAAUGUUAUUAAACAUGGAAAAAGGGGUGAAGCAUGAGCAAACCACCUAGCUAGGCAAUUUUAAAUGAGGCCAGAAACAACAAACAACAAUUCCGGAAAGUCCCCAUGUCAUUUAGUAGUUUAAUGCAAACACAAUAUUAAACAUUUUAAUUGUUGUUAUCAUGAUGCGGAUGACAUAAUCAAGGUUUUACGCAAUUUUUAUGAAAACGUUGACAUGAACAUGUUACGAGGCAUUUGUCGCCAUGGCGGAAGGAAAAAGGUGCCACGGCGGCGAAACGGAAAUGGUGCCACGGCAACAUUCCGGAAAUGAUGCCACGGCAACAUAUCGGUUCCGGUAGCUCACGGAGAUACCGGUGCAAAAGGAGGCGUGCGGAUGAGCGCAACAUGCAAGAUGGUGGGGUGAUCCCGACUACUGGGUUCCCACGGGACGGUGGCAUGGCAAAAGAGGGGCAUCGCAAGGACGAUUCGAUCACGGUGCAAACAUAUGGUACAACUCAUACAUGCAAGGGCAUCUCAUCGCGGUCGUCUCGGGUUAUACCUUUGAAGCGUGCGUUACGGGCGGAACGAGUUCGGAGCGGUGUAGAGGAAGUAGGCGUUCACGGGACGUCGUGGAAGUAGUCGUACACGGCAUCGGUAGUGGUACACCAUUGGAGACGUACACGUUCCAUAGAUGAACUUGGCGCUCGUGGUACACGGGUCUUCGGACGACGGUAGAUGUACACGACAAUCGUAGUGGAACUUGGUGAUCCACAGUGUUCGGGCGUAGUGGUACUCAUUCCGUAGACGAACUUGACGGGACAUGGCUGUCAUGGUACUUGACGUCAUUGUGGCCUCCAGGUACUUGCCGAAAUCCACAUCGGAUGUAGUCGUACAGAUUUGAAGACGAACUUGGCGAAAAUCCCAAAGAUGGCCUUGGCGUUCCUGGUUCAGUGGUUGUAGCCACGAAAGGCCGUUGGAGAGGGAGCAGGGGCGCGAGAAGGGCCAUGGCGGGCACGGGUCUGCCGGACCUGCAACUGCGGCUGAUGACGAUGCAGAGGAGAGCUUUGGGUUGGCCCUAGCGUCAACUUGACCAGGGAGAUGGUGGAGGUUGGCGCAUGUGGUCGUCGGAAGUCGCGGACGACGCCAGAACGAGGCAUGAGGAGGAGCAGCAGGGUGAAGAGGUCGGGCGCGCCGGCAAGGAAGGGCAGCAGGACUCGGCGUCCAAGGCGGCAUCCAUGGCGAGGAGGGGAAGAGGGACUUGGCCGGCGGUGCGGCUGGUGGCAGGGGACGAUGGAUCCGGGCAGCGGCCGCGGCUCGGGAGCCUUCCCCGAUCGAGACGAGGACGGAGAGGGCCGAGCGAGAGAGGGAUGGCGGCGCGCGGGAGAAGGAAGGGCGAGGAGGAGGCCGCAGGUGAGGGAGAGCCGCCGGAGUUGGCUGCCCCGAUGGGGUCACCGGCGUGGUGGAGCGAGGGGGAUUCAAGGGCUGCGCGCGGAGGGAGAUGGGGGUCGGGCGCUGCGGGAACGAGGAUGAGGAGGAGAUGGAUCGAGGGGAUGGGGAUCGCAUGUUGCGGCGGCGCUGGAGGGAGAUGGGGGUCGGGCAGGGGAGACUAGGGUUAGGCGCGGCUGGGCCUUAGAGGCCGGCCCAGAUGGAUACAAGUGGCGGCUGGGCUGCGGAUGAGCCUAGAUGGCCUGUUGGGCUGCAAGGCUUCUUCCUCCUCUUCUUUAACUCUAAUUUUCUAAAAUAGAAAAUAACAACGAAGAAAAGAAGAAGGAAGGAGGUGUUGGGGGAGAAGUUGGACACGGGGAUUAUUUUCCUGAACUCGCAAAAAUGAGCUCGAUCCAGGAAAAUAAAAGAGGCAUGCUUGAAAGAUUUAAAUCCAAAACCAUUUGAAUUUAACUCAAAUGGGUUUGCACUAGGACUUGAUAAAAGGAAGGUCCAAAAAUGUUCGGAUUUUUGGUGGAGCUCCGGAAAAUGAUGAAAGAAAUAUUGGCAAGGUUAGAGAGCCAAAACUUGAAGAAGAAAAGGCCAAGGGAUUUAAUAUGCAAGUGGGUUCAUGGGUGAUUCCAAAACAAUGGAAUAUUUUAUAGUAUCUCCCUAAAUAUCGGGAGGGUAUGUUUUAAAGAGAACCCACCAUGUGAGUUUCCUCAAUUUAAAUGGACCGAAGAUCCAUACGAUUUAUUUAGAUGAGUUUUUAAAAUUAAUGAUAUGAUGGCAUGAUGACGUGAUGCAAUGCACAUGAUGCAGAGAUGAAUGCACGAACCAAACAAAAUCACACAACGAAUCUCGGAAACCCUGGAAGGCGUCUAAAGCUCCGGUCUUGGGGCAUUACAGUGGGCAUGGGUGGCUAAUCCGCUCUUCCUCCUUUUUUUCUUCGCUCUCCUCAUCAUCACUUUCACCCAAUGAGCUCACAGAUUCAUCAAUUUCUUCUUCCAUAGACUCCUGCAAAAUGUUAGUCUUUUCUUGGACAGCGGAGAAGUCCUCAAUACAUGGUUUAAUAUAAGCAUUAGAAUAAUAAUGUUCAUAGCAAUAUUUAAGUAUGGCAAAAAUUUCAGAUUUGUAAAGUGUAGCAUCAUAUUCAAUCAAAGAAGCAACUUCGUAGGCACCCUUAAAUGCAACAAAAUCUUUAAUUUAUUCAAUAUCAAAGUAAUUAUAAACACCCUUGGCAUAAUAAGAUAAGAUUCCAUUAUCCUUAAACUCACAUUGGAAGAAAAGGUGUUUCUUAGGGUCUUCGGAACAACAAGUAAAAUCAUGUAUUUCGCAUAGAUUCAAAGCAUAGCAAUAUAAACUAUUAAUAUGAUGCCACAAAAGUUUCCCUUUUUGAGAUAAGCGGUGUCGCACAAAAUAAGCAUGCUCAUUUAAUGAUUUUUCCUCAACUAAGCUAGUUGGGUUUUCAACACGAGCACAAAUGGAUCGAAGAUGAUCCAAAUAGAAAGCUUAAGUAGUAUGAUAGAUUUUGGGUGGUUCUUCAACCAUUGGUUUAGCAGGUACAACUAUUUUUUUCUAUUUUUCGUUUCCUACCCAUAGCUAGAGAUAGAAAAAAAGAGCACAAAAUAAAAACUACUUAGUGAUAAAGCAAACAAGUACACACGAGAAAUAUUUACCCACGCUAUUGCUCCCCGACAACGGCGCCAGAAAAAGGUCUUGAUAACCCACAAGUAUAGGGGAUCAUUUGUAGCCUUCUUCGAUAAAUAAGAGUGUCGAACCCAACGAGGAGCUAAAGGUAGAACAAAUAUUACCUCAAGUUCUAUCGACCACCGAUACAACUCUACGCACACUUCACAUUUGCUUUACCUAGAAUGAGAAUAAAACUAUUUUGCAAGAUUAAAACUAUGAGUACUUUGCGGGAAUAAAACUAUGAAUACAUUGCAAGGUAAUAAAAGUGGAUAGCUUUUGUCAAUAAGAAAGUCAUUUGUCCCUAGGCAAUCGAUAACAAGUACCGGUAAUCAUUCUUGCAAUUCUAUAUGAGGGAGAGGCAUGAGCUAACAUACUUUCUCUACUUGGAUCAUAUGCACUUAUGAUUGGAACUCUAGCAAGCAUCCGCAACUAGUAGAGAUCAAUAAGGUCGUGAAACCCAACCAUAGCAUUAAGUGUCAAGUCCUCUUUAUCCCAUAGGCAAUAACCCACCUACUCGGGUUUAAGCUUCUCUCGCAGUUGCAACCCACCAUAAGCGAAUCAUGAAUGUAUAGCAACACCCUACAUUGGGGCCCCUCACGUUUGCGCGGGACGGAGGGCACCAUAGGACAUCACCAUAAAUAACAUAUAAAAUCAUACUAACCAAGAUCACGAUUAACCCAUAGGACAAAACGGAUCUACUCAAACAUCAUAGGGUAGCCAAAUAUCAAUGGGAAAUAAUAUAUGGAGUUGAGCACCAUGUUUAAGCAGAUAUUACAGCAGGGAAAAGAGGUGUUACACCGCUGCAUAGAUGGGGAGAGAGUUAGUGUUGACAGUAGCAAGAUUGUUGAUGUAGAUCACUGUCAUGAUCCUAGCCCCGAUGGCACUCUGGCGCCGCCGGGAGAGAGGGGGAGAGAGUCCCCCUCCUUCUUCUUCUUCUUCAUUGGCCUCCCCCCUAGAUGGGAGGAGGGUUCCCCCUCUCGUCCAUGGCCUCCAUGGCGGCGGAGGGGCGAGAGCCCCUCCGAGAUUGGAUCUGUCUCUCUGUUCUCUUCUGUUUCGCGCUCCCCAAAUCUGGCCCUUCACGGUUUCUUAAAUUCCCCGAGAUUCGUAACUCUGAUUGUGCUGAAAUUUUUACAUAAUUUUUUCCAUAAAUUAUCUUUCUUGGGCCAGAAGAAGGGCCCCAACCGACCUUCGAGGUGGGCAUAAGACACCUGGGCCCCCAGGCGCACCCUAGUGUUUUGUGGGCACUGUGGGCCACCGUUUUGCAUUGAUUCCACCUCCAAAAAAUCACAUAUAUUCCAAUAUAAUUCUUCGUAAAAUUUUAUCGCGUUUGAACUUCGUUUGAUAUGGUUUUUGUGCGAAACAAAAAACAUGCAACAAACUGGAACUGGCACAGGGAACUGGAUCAAUAGGUUAGUUCAAUAAAUCAUAUAAAAAAGUUGCCAAAAGUAUGUGAAAGUUGUAUAAUAUUGGCAUGAAACAAUCAAAAAUUAUAGAUGCGAUGGAGACGUAUCAGCAUCCCCAAGCUUAAUUCUCGCUCAUCCUCGAGUAAGUAAAUGAUAAAAAAGAUAACUUUUGAUGUGGAAUGCUAGCUAACAUAAACUUGAUCAUAUGUCUAGUCAUGGCAUGAAUAUUAAGACAUAAGUGAUUCAAAGCAAUAGUCCAUAAUUUGACAUAAAGACAAUAAUACUCAGGCAUUCCAACAAACAAUCAUGUCUUUCAAAAUAUCAACACUAAAGAAAGCUAUCCCUACAAAGUCAUAUAAUCUUGUCAUGCUCUGUAUUCUUGACACAAAGUAUUUAUCAUGCACAACCCCAAUGACAAGCCGAGCAAUUGGUUCAUACUUUUUAACGCGCUUCAACUUUUUCAACCCUCGCGUAAUACAUGAGCGCAAGCCAUGGAUAUAGCACUAUGGGUGGAAUAGAGUAUGAUGAUAGGGGUAAAUAUAAAGAAGACAAAAAAGUAAGAAAGUCUCACGUCGACGCUGCUAACCAACGGGCUAUGGAGAUGCCCAUCAAUUGAUAUCAAUGCGAGGAGUAGGGAUUGCCAUGCAACAGAUGCACUACGAGCUAUAAGUGUAUGAAAGCUCGGUAUGAAAACUAUGUGGGUGUGAAUCCAACUUGUUUGCUCAUGAAGACCUCGGGCAUUUGAGGAAGCCCAUCAGCAGAAUAAACAAGCCAAGUUCUAUAAUGAAAAAUUCCCACUAGUAUAUGAAAGUGACUACAUAGGAGACUCUCUAUAUGAAAACAUGGUGCUACUUUGUAGCACAAGUGUGGUAAAAGAUAGUAACAAUGCACCUUCUCUCACUUUUUUCCUUUUUUUUCUCUCAUUGUCCAGAGUCUCAUCCCGACUUGUGGGGGAAUCAUAGUCUCCAUCAUCCUUUCCUCACUGGGACAUGCUCUAAUAAUGAAUAAUGACGAUCAUCACACUUCUAUUUACUUAUAACUCAAAUAAAAUAAAAAUUACAACUCGACACCUAGACCAAAAUAUGACUCUAUAUGAAUGUCUCUAUUAGUGUACCAGGAUGUGCAAUGAUCUAGCAACGACAUCAAAAAACGGACAAGCCAUGGAAAUAUCAUGCUACCUGCUACGUCUUGAGCUUGCGUUGGUUUUCCUUGAAGAGGAAAGGGUGAUGCAGCAAUAGUGGCGUAAGUAUUUCCCUCAGUUUUUGAGAACCAAGGUAUCAAUCCAGUAGGAGGCUCCUCAAAAGUCCCACGCACCUACACAAACAAAUAAAGAACUCGCAACCAACACAAUAAAGGGGUUGUCAAUCCCUUCACGACCACUUGCGAAAGUGAGACCUGAUAGAGAUAGUAUGAUAAGAUAAAUAUAUUUUUGGUAUUUUAUAAUAUAGAUUGGAAAAGUAAAGAUGCAAAUAAAAGUAGAUUGAAAGCUUAUAUGAUAAAAGAUAGACCCGGGGGCCAUAGGUUUCACUAGUGGCUUCUCUCAAAAUAGCAUAAGUAUUACGGCGGGUGAACAAAUUACUGUCGAGCAAUUGAUAGAAAAGCGAAUAAUUAUGAGAUUAUCUAGGCAUCAUCAUGUAUAUAGGCAUCACGUCCGUGACAAGUAGACCGACUCCUACCUGCAUCUACUACUAUUACUCCACACAUCGACCGCUAUCCAGCAUGCAUUUAGAGUAUUAAGUUCAUAAGAAUAGAGUAACACAUUAAGAAAGAUGACAUGAUGUAGAGGGGUAAACUCAAGCAAUAUGAUAUAAACCCCAUCUUUUUAUCCUUGAUGGCAACAAUACAAUACGUGCCUUGCAACCCCUGCUGUCACUGGGUAAGGACACCGCAAGAUUGAACCCAAAGCUAAGCACUUCUCCCAUGGCAAGAAAGAUCAAUCUAGUAGGCCAAACCAAACUGAUAAUUCGAAGAGACUUGCAAAGAUAACUCAAUCAUACACAAAAGAAUUCAGAGGAGAUUCAAAUAUUUCUCAUAGAUAAACUUGAUCAUAAACCCACAAUUCAUUGGAUCUCGACAAACACACUGCAAAAAGAGUUACAUCAAAUAGAUCCCCACAAGAGAGGGGAAGAACAUGGUAUUGAGAUCCAAAAAAAGAGAGAAGAAGCCAUCUAGCUAAUAACUAUGGACCCGAAGGUCUGUGGUAAACUACUCACAACUCAUCGGAGGGGCUAUGGUGUUGAUGUAGAAGCCCUCCGUGGUCGAUUCCCCCUCCGGCGGAGCGCCGGCGAAGGCUCCAAGAUGGGAUCUCGCGGAUACAGAAGGUUACGGCGGUGGAAAUUGUUUUUCGUUGGCUCCCUGGAUGUUUUCAUGGUACGUGGGUAUAUAUAGGAGGAAGAAGUAGGUCGGUGGCCGCCCGAGGGGCCCACGAGACAGGGGGCGCGUCCAGAGGGGGUGGGCGCGCCCUCCUAUCUCCUGGCUGCCUCGGCUGCUUUUUAGCUUGCACUCCAAGUCCUCUGGAUCGCGUUCGUUCUAAAAAUCACGCUCCCGAAGGUUUUAUUCCGUUUGGACUCCGUUUGAUAUUCCUUUUCUUCGAAAUACUGAAAUAGGCAAAAAAACAGCAUUAUGGGCUGGGCCUCCAGUUAGUAGGUUAGUCCCAAAAAUGAUAUAAAUAUGUAAAAUAAAGCCCAUAAACAUCCAAAAGGGGUAAUAUAAUAGCAUGGAACAAUAAAAAAUUAUAGAUAUAUUGGAGACGUAUCACUAGCUAUCUUACGAUCAUGCAAAGCAAUAUGACAAUGAAUGCUCAAGUCAUCAAAAUGGAGGCGGUGGAAGUUGUAUGACAAUAUAUCUCGAAAUGGCUACGGAAAGGCCAUAAUAGAUAGGUAUGGUGGCUGUUUUGAGGAAGAUAUAAUAAGGCUUAUGUGUGAUAGAGUGUAUCAUAUCACGGGGUUUGGAUGCACCUGCGAAGUUCGCACCGACUCUCGAGGUGAGAAAGGCAAUGCACGAUACCGUACAGGCUAGCAAAUUGCGAAAAGGUAAGAGUGCGUAUAAUCCAUGGACUCACAUUAGUCAUAACGAACUCAUAUGCUUAUUGUAGAAGUUUAUUAGCCCUCGAAGCAAAGUACUACUACGCAUGCCACUAGGGGUAGAUUGGUAGAAAAAGACCAUCGCUCGUCUCCGACCGCCACUUAGAAGGAAGACAAUCAAUUUUAAUAUAUAAUGAGGCUAGCCAACUUGCCUCCACGGAGCUCCCUCAAUUGGGUCGUUCGUGGUCGUCCGAUCGUAGUAAAAUUCCCACCACGCCUCUCCUCGGUCGUUGGAUAUUCACUGCAUGUUUCACCACGUUAUUUCUUUGACAUGUGUAUGACCAGUGGGCCUCUUCGUUGGUGGGGUCAUCAUGUAUUGGCUGGGUUCAUCAGUGUGAGGGUCCAAUUUGUUGCGCCUCCCCCAAUCCCCACAACCGCAAUUCCCACAGCCGCAUGCCCACAUCCCUCCCUCCUCCCUCGUCUCAGCCGCCACCCCACGAACCCUAGCCGCGCCCUACUACAUCUGUCCUCCUUCCCCCCUCCCUGGUCCGCCCCAAGCCCCUCCUCCUCCGCCCUCACAUGCUCCACCCUGAGCACACCGGCAGCGAAGUGCACCGCGAGGCCCCGAAGCAACUCAGCCAAAGCCCCUCCGUACAGGAGGAACCCCGCGGCCAGCGCAGCCAACAACGACACGUACAAGAGGUCGGCCUUGAUGGGUUGCGCGCCGUACGCGAGGGUCAUGUCCACACUGGAGGGCAGCAACGUGCACAUGGCGCGGUACGUGGAGGUGCGCAGGGAGAAGGUGCACGGCUCCGCCUAGCACCAUGUGUGCGGCAGCGGGGACAGGCGGCCACGGGCAGAUUUUGGGGAGCGGCACGAGCAUCUAGCAAUGGCUGAUGCCAAGGUGAGCUUCCCCUCGGCUCCCCUCUCUCUCCAUCACAAAAUAAUGUCCUCCUGAUCUUGCUAUUUAUGCAUCUCCAUAUGUCAUUGAUGUUCUUCCGAUUUGCAGGCAUGCCAAGAUCAAGGAUAUUUAUACUUGUUUCUUCUAUCGAUGAAAGAUUUCAGAUACUUUUGUAGAUGAAUUUCUGGGCUAAGAUAAAUGAUGUUGCUCCACAAAAUUAUCUCCUUAGUUGCAUUCCAUUUAUAGGUAAAGUGAGAUUGUUACCUCUGUUUGACUUUCUGUUCAAACUUCACGAUUGGAGUAUGGAUAUUAGCUUAGCUGUUGUAUGAAUUUUUCAUUAGAGGGGCCCAGGCUGAGACUUAAUACUUAAUUACUUUCUGUUUGAACAAAAAAGAGUGCACUUAUUAAUUGUAAAAUGUGGAGUGCAGACCCGACAUCCUUCAAUAUUACCUGAUUUGGUGCUGAUUUUCAUCUUCCAGUUCAUGUUCAUGGCCUUGCUGUGGUUGCAUCAUGGUCCGUGGGGAAUAGAAACAAAUACCUUUGCUACAACCGAGGUCUUGACAGACCAGUCAGGGAGAUAUAGGUUCGGUGAGUCAUUUUACCCUCUGUUUAUCCCUCUCGGAUUAGCUGAGAAGAAGCAUCUUUUUUUAUUUCCUUCUGAUUUCUUCUCUUGUUUGGCAGGAUCAAUUUUUUUUCAUAAUUUUGCAGGGGUUGAUAUGCUCUAUCCCUUGAGGUAAGUUUGCUAGGCAGUGGCUUACUCCUCUCUUGUUUUUGUUUUGUUUUGACCAUGGUAUUGAAAUUACAUCUGGUCGAUGGUGUUAAGUUUAGGUAAUUACUAUCUGCAUUUUGUAAAGAUUGCCAUCAUCUAGGUUUUAUUACGGCAUGAUGCAUAUGUAAUAAGGAAUUUGGUGUUUCAGAAGCAUCACUCGAAGUUGGUAUGCCAAUAUCUCAAUUGGCAAGAUAAAAGGACACUACUUCUUACUUUCCAGUCAUUUUAAUAAUAUAGGAAUGUAAGUGUGUACUAAGUAGAAAAGGUGGUUGAAUUUAGUGCCCCUACAUUUACACGACUAGGUGUUAUUCAUUUUUUGUUUCCUUUGACGCGCUGAUUGGAGCUUGUUGGGUACAAAAUGUUUCCAACAUUAUUUUAGGGUCAGAAUUAUUGUCAAGUUGUCCAGAUAUUGCUCCAAGAGGUUCCUAGAAUUAGUUUAGGAUCAGAGUUAUUGUCAUGUUGUCUAGAUAUUGCUCUGAAGAAUCCAAACGUACUUUUUAGGUGGCUUGGUUAUAAUUUUUGCCCCCCAAAGGGCAGAUCUGACCAGUUUCUUGCUAGAAUAUUAUCAUAAGGUUUGAUUAAUUUUGAACACACCUUUGUCUCUUCACUCUUAUAUUAUUUUAAUAGUCAUUUGACAUGCUGUAAACUAUUUGUUUUAUUUUUCCAGGAAGAAAUGAAGUUGAGGGGAGGCUAUUGCAUGCUGGAAAAUCAGUUGGUGUUGUCUAUGUUGGUUUCAGGAAGAAAAGGACCGGCAAAUUGAUGGCUCAGGCAUGUCAUACAAAGUACCUUGUUGUAUCUAGCAGAUUGCGAGGAUUCCCUUCUGUUGUAAGAUGAAAACCUGGUUAUAUGUUGCAUCUCAAAAUCAAGAUGUUCAUUCGAGAAGAGAAAGGAGUUGUCGGUGUGUCGUGGUGCGCGACCUUGUCCCGGAGUAUGCAUUUUAUAUAAAGUAAUGUGUAUCAAUGCUUUCUCAUACAUAUGAUUCUGAAGUAAUAGAGAGCAGGAAGUGGCAGGCUUAAUUUCAAUUAGAUAAAUAGGUGUACUGCAGCAUCAUAUAUUUAGGUAAUCCCUUUUAUUUUUCUUGCCAGGUUCAUGCUAUAUACAUUGUGUAUAUGCACAUAAAGUACACCCACAUAAACUGUAGUUUGUAGUAUCAGCAGCAAACAGAGGUGCAGCUAAGUAGUAGCAUGUCCCUAUUAUAAAUGGGUAGAAAAAUAAGAGCUUAUCAAAAGAACAGUAUCUCCGUUACAUGAUAAGGAUGAAUGUUUGAUGUUAUGCAUAUGUGUAAAAGCACUCCACUAUCAUGCAAAUAGUAUCAUGUUCAGAGCCUUAAUAAUGGCAGUUGUAAACCCAAAAUAAUCCAUCUUAUAAUUUAGGAUAUAGUAUAGAUUCCGGUGAGAACCACUCCAAUAAGAAUGCUAGCUGCUACUAUAUAUCUAAUUGGUCCCAGAUUGAAAAUCUUAGCUGUUAAUCUCUGAAUGCAGUAUGCACUUGUGCUGAAACAUAGAGCAUGUGUGGUGUUGCUCUGUACAUGAAUGAAAAAUCUCAGUUAUUAAUCUGUAAAUGAAGAAUGAUCAUGGUUCCCCACCUCUCUACUACUCAUAGUAAUGCCACCCUUUGCUAAUUUAUCUUUGGUUGUUCAAUGCAUGAUAACAUUUUUUGAAUUUGCAACAUAUGAUACCUUCAUCUUCUGAGUAGGAAGUCACUGGGCAAAAUUUUGCUGAUCAGAUGUAUGUAUAGUAUAAUAAUAGCAUAAUAAUAGCAGGUGAUAUACUAUAAUUGCCAUAUUAUUGAGCUUGAUAUCAUGUUUGAACUAGACAAAUAAUUUUGACAGGAUUUUAUCCUGGCAUAAACAUGCUGACAUAGUGUCAACAUAAUAACAGAAAAACCUUUUCGAAAUUCAACAUUAUAGAAUAUAAAGCAAGACAAAGUUAUCUCCUUGAAAUUUCUUUGACAACAUUCUAGAACAUGUGCCGGAUUCUAUUCGUUGAACCAAUAUUCUUCCAAUAUUUUGCAAGCCUAGAUAGUUUGAUAUCCCUAAAUGAUAAAUUCAGUUAAGGAAGCAACCAACUUAGCUAUCGUAUUGUCGGUUCUUUGACUAAAUUACUUUUGUGAGUAACAGUAUUUUAUUAGAAAUUGUUUCACUACCUGUUGUUCUUUAUAUUAGAUUUCGAAAAAAGCCAAGGCAGUAAGUCAACUAUUAGUUUGACUGAUUAUCAUAUUUCUUCUUGCACUUAAACUGCUUGACAGGUUGAUCCAGAUGAAGUAAAUGCACUUGCUCAACUGGUGACAUAGAAGACUGCCCAUUACGGCGGUACCAUAUGGUGGAGUGAAGGGAGGAACAGGGUACUCGUCUGGUGAUUUAAGUAGGAGUGAGUUGGAGCAUCUAAUGCGUGUAUUUACUCAGAAAAAUUGUGAUCUUACCGGAACUCAUACCUAUAUUCUAGCUCCAGCCAUGGGAACUAAUUCACAGUUAUGUUAUGCAAUUUCGGUGUCUUUUCUACCGUUUACUACCUUCCUAUGCUCUGCAACUAACUCUAUCUAAAACCAGGGCUGCUUUUUAUAGGUAUGUUUAUGCCCCUUAUGCCAUUAUUUUAAAUGUUUCUUUACUGUAUUGCUUAUGAAUAGAUACAAAGUUUUUUUAUGUACUGUACUAUCCAGUGCGGAUAAAAACAACUUUGAUCCUCCCUUUGGUGUCUCCAUGGAUGCAUAUAUGUAUUUAUUGUUCAUAUCGCAGAAUAAGGAUAAAUGUUUCGUUGGCAAAAUAUGAUCCUUCUAGAUAUCUUGUUGUACAAAUAAUCUCUCUUUAUGUAUCAUUGUUACUUUUGUUUCUGCUUGGUGUAUUUAACCUUACUUUUCAUGGUCAUUGCCUCAUGGUUCUGCUUCUACUGCAGGUUGUAGUACGUCAGUGAUGAUGAAAAGAUACUCGCUGUGUGUAUCAACUGUUUGACAAAGGUAUCUCAUGUACCGAGUGUUCUAAGAGACAAUGCACCCUCACUACCCUAGGCAGGCAGCUGUAGUGCGUUUGCAUUUGUUUCACUUUUAGUUUCUAUGGGGAGAAUUUUCAUUAUUAUCAACAUAGACAUACAAAUUAACCAGUUUCAGAAAAUCAUCUGGCUAACUGAAAAAGAAAAAAGAGAUCCAAAUUAUCUAUUUGGUAGGGCUGAUUUUAAUACUCAAUGUGUUCAAUACAGAACUGACAAACAACAAACUUUGGUUACCUACAAAUUCGUAUAAGCCUGAAGUGUGCUAAUCCCCUUGAAAGUUAAAUAUCAAAGCAAGUAUCAAGAAUCUUAUUAGCUCAACCUAAAAUGUUGCUGUGCGUCAUACUUCUUAAUAUCAAAGUUAAAUGCUAUAUCUUCUGGAUGCCUCCCUUUCUACUGCUGACCAUAGGUAAUUCUGAGUUAAGUGAUAACUAUCUUGCAUGACCAAAUUUCUUAAAAUUUUGUAUAUUUCGUAAUGCUCCUUUAACUUCUAAUAUCUAAGGCGUCCCAUGAGAAACUAGGUCUAUGGAACGCCAAGGUCGCAGGUCGCUAACUCAGUUGUAUGAGGAUCUUGUUUUCAUUGUCUCUCUUUGAUAUCAAACAAUACAUGUCCUACAAAUCCGAGAUCCAGGCAGCCUUGUUGUGGUACAAAGAAUUGGUGCAUUUUUAUAGUUCUGGAAUGUGCUUCUAAUUCAUAUUUGCUGGUUCUUUCAGCUUAUGAUCCAUCUGUAGAUAAGUCAUUACCGUUCCUGUUCAAGAGAUAUAUGGAUGGCAAUGAUCAUAUAACAAAAUAUUGCGGGACCAGGCUUGGCCUUGCAGUCUGCAAACAGUUGGUAUCAAUUUGUUCAGUCCAAAUCCUUGGUUCAUCUAGAAAACAACACUAGGAUUAAGGUGUUUUUGCCUUCAUAUGUGUAAAAAUUGUGUAACGCUUAUUUGAUUUUUCAUGAUGAAUUAGGUGGACUUGAUGGGUGGUACUCUCACUGCUUAGCAAAGAGAAAUGAUUGAAUAAAGGCUCAACAUUUAUAGUCAUGCUGCCCUGCACAAUUCCUGCAAGAGAUGUCGAGUGAUGAUCUUGGUAACGGGCAAAACUCCUGUAACAAAACUUUUUGCGAGUACUACAUUGGUUUGACUGCUGAAAUACCACGCUUCGGAAAAAAAGGCAAAAAUGUUUUACGUCCGAGGCAUGGGAAGUAUAGACUAAAGAAUGUGGUUUAAAGUUUCCCUAUUUUGUUAGAUUAGCUAAGGUGUUGAUUUGUUGAUUCAUGUGAGCGAUGUAUGUAAUCAAGAAUCAAGAAAGCAUACCAGUAUAUUGCAAUUCCUAAACUUACAAAAAUGAGAAGGAUGCAAGGAUGCCCAAACCUAUAGAUUUGUAAUUGACAUUUAGCACUACAUGUUGCCACUGAGUAAUUUUUCAUGUAAUGUUCUUAUAUAAAUAUGUUUUUUUUUCAAACUCAGAUUUCUCAGCGUGAUAACCAUAUUUUCAACUAAAAAAAGUUUCCUUAUUUGGUCUAUACAUGUUAUACAAAUAUGAUUUUUUUGCAAACUUAGAUUUCUUAGAAUGAUAAACAUAUUUUUAAUAUAGCAUGAUUUAACACAUGGGCUUUUUACUACCAAUAUUGAAUAUGUUCUUGCAAAAUGAAACUAUUUUCAUCGACAACAUGGCUUUAGCGGGUCUUUGCGCCAUUUGGCGCAACGGGUCAGCUAGUAAUAAUAAAUCAUGCUCCAACUUCAUAGCAUAACGAGACACUAUACGUGUAUGCUUCGGGAAUCACAAACCUUCACACAAAUAUUUCUACUAACCACAACCAUUUACUAGUACCUCCCACAUAUUACCAUCACUAUAUCGCAAAACUAUUUUAAGGAAUCAAACAUAUCAUAUUCAGUGAUCCAUAAGUUUUAUGUAGGAUUUUAUGACUAACCAUGCAAUUGACCAAUUCAUGUUGACUCUCUAAAUGGAUAUAAGUGAAGCAAAAGAGUUUCAUUCUUUCUACAGAAAACCAUGCUCUAACAAAUAUAAGUGAAGCAAAAGAGCAUUCUACAAAUAAUGGUUUCCUAUGUGAAGAGAAACAGGCAAUCCAAACUUCAAAUGAUAUAAGUGAAGCAUAUGAAGCAUUCUAUAAAGCCAUAUUCAAAAGAUAUAAGUGAAGUGCAAUGAGCAUUCUAUAAAUCAACCAUGGACUAUCUCAUAGAAGCGUAGUGCAUGAAAUAAAAGAAAAAACUAAAUGCAAAAGACUCCCCAAGAUUUACACAUAUCACGUGAAUGAAACGAAGAUGAAAACAUACCGAUACUUGUUGAAGAAAGAUGGGAUGCCUUCCUGGGCAUCCCCAGUCUUGAGCUCUUGCCUCUCCUCCUUCUCCUCAUAUCGAGACCUCCUCUAUCUUUGAUCACUUCAUCCACACAAAAUUCAACAGAAAGCUCAGUAAGAUCCGUUAGUAUAAUAAAGCAAAUCACUACUCUAAGCACUGUUGCAAACCAAUUCAUACUUUGUUUUUGCAUUGCAUCUAUUGUAAUAUAACUUUCCAUGGCUUAUACCACCGAAAGAAUCGAUAGUUUCAUCAAAACAAGCAAAACAAUGCAUCAAAAAUAGAAUCUGUCUUAAACAGGACCGUUUGUAGUAAUAUGAACAUCUACCAUACUUCUGGUACUCCAAAAAUUCUGAAAAAUUAGAUGAAAUAAAUUUUUUAUAGAAAUAGUGUGCAAAAAGUUUCAGAACAUUUUAAUGUUCCUCUAAAAAAAUUGAAAAUUGACACGCUACAGCCAAAGUUUCUGUUUCUGCACCGCACAUACCAACAAGCAAUUUAAUCAUCUUAAAGGAAAACCUUGGCACAAUAAUUUUACAAUAGAAAGGAUUUGUACAAGGGGAUAAUUAUUUUUGUUGGAAAGUUUCUAUAAUUAAGAUUCACAAAGUUUCCAUGCGCAUGAACAAAGUUCAAGGAGCUCUCCCACUUCAACAAUGCUUGUCUUUCUCACUUUCACUUUUCUUUUUGUGAAGUUUUAAGUUCCCCACUAUAUUUUUUUGUUUUUAAACUUUAUAAAAGCACUCAACAGAAAUAAAUGACUCUCUAAAACUUCUGGGUUGUCUCCCUCGCAGUGCUUUCUUUAAAUCCAUUAAGCUAGGCAUGAAGUGCUCAAGUAAUGGAUCCACCCGGAUCCCAAGGUAUAUCAAAGUCAAUUUUAAUUAGCAAUUGUCAUUUAGUAGUGAUCACAAAGCAACAUAUAUCAUGCAGUGACAAAGUCUAACCCUCUUCCUAUGUAUCGACAUGUCAUACAAGAACAAUUCAUGCACAUCAAAUAAAGGCCAAUACAUAGCAUAAGCAGUUUCUUGCCAUUUUAUCGUGUUGGAAACAUAAAGGGGUGGAGAUGUAGUUCCUCUCUCAUAAUAAUUGCAAGUAGGAGCAGCAAGCACAUGCAUGUUACAUUCAUCAAAAUUAUCAUGUGCAACAGUAAAAGGCAACCCAUCAACAUAAUCCUUAAUAAGUGCAAACUUCUCCGAUAUAGUGUAGGUUGGAGAAUUCGAAAAAAUAUUAGGACUAUCAAGUGUGGGUGCAACAGCAACAAUUUCAUUCUUAAUAUAAGAAACCAUAGCAAGUUCAUCUCCAUAAGCAUAGUUCAUGUUGACAUCAAGGCCGGAAGCAUAGCAAGCAUCAAGUUCAUAAAAAAUGGAUAUUUCAAACGAAUCAGCGGGAUCAUAGCAAUUAUCAUAACAUUCAUCCUCCGGUAAGAACGAAGGGGCAUUAAAUAAUGUAUGAGUUGAAGAGUUACUCUCAUUAUAAGGUGGGCAUGGGUAGCUAAUCCGCUCUUCCUCCUGUUGUUCUUUGAUCUCCUCAUCAUCUCUUUCAUCCAAUGAGCUCACAAUUUCAUGAAUUUCUUCUUCCAUAGACUCCUGCAAAAUAUUAAUCUCUUCUUGGACAGAGGAGAAGUCCUCGAUAUAUGGUUUAAUAUAAGCAUUAGAAGAAUAAUGUUCAUAUCAAUAUUUAAGUACGAAAAAAAAA